UGUGCUUACUUUUUUUCUCCGUGCAUGAGAUCAAUAUUAUUGUUUGUUAUGGUUUGUUUGGUUCAACUGUAGAUUCUUGAAAAUAUGAUUUGAACAGUGAGCUGUGUUGUAAACUAACAAUUAUAGAAAAUCUAAAAUUUGUUUGCUGAAACAACUGUUGAUUAUAAAUUUCAUAAGUGAAUAGCACCUUAUAACAUAUAUGACAUGAAUCAAACUGAGGUAAAAGAUAUGUAGAUUUUUAGUAAUUUAUUCAGUUGUUGUAUCCGUUUAGUUAAAAUUCUAAAAGAUGAACCAACCACAACAUAAGAGUGCGUAGUGCUCUUCGGGGUCAAACAUGCAUAUUUUUCGAAACGGGGAAGUAUUUCUGUAAACUUUAUUCACUUUUGGAGUCUUGUAGAUGCUUGUAGAGGGAAAAAAAUAUUUUUCCCCCAAUGGAUUUCCCACUCGAUCCAACUACCUCCCCCUUCCAUCUCGGCCCGGGCCCAACUAUCUAACACUCUCUUGAGCCCAGCAAACGUCUCGGUAGUCUGCAUGGCCCAACACCAUCGCUCCCUCACUCCCCAGUUCUCUCCCGGUCUCCCCACUUCGGCCUCUCCGCGGGCCGAACCCGCUCACCCCCGCCCUCCCCUAGCCACCGGUCAUCGCCGCCACGUCCACCGACGGGCCCACCCAACGACCUCGCUGCGCCCACCCGUACGCCUCCAUCCAGCUUAGCGGCGCCCGAGUCACAGACCAGUCACAUGCCGCCGCGGCUCCUGCUCAACAAUGUCUCCUGCAUGCGGAACGCACAGACGGUGCUCCGUGACAUCAACCUCAGCGUCCACGACGGCACAGCCCUCGUCCUUACCGGCGCCAACGGCUCCGGAAAGACCACCCUCCUCCGCAUGCUGGCGGGCUUCUCGCGCCCCUUGGCGGGGGAGAUCCUCUGGAACGGACACGACAUCACCUCCCCCGGCGUCUUCCAGCAGUACAAGCUGCAGCUCAACUGGAUGUCGCUCAAGGACGCCGUGAAAGAGAAGCUCACAGUGCUCGAGAACGUCCAGUGGUUCGAGCUCCUCGAGGGGAAGGACGGCAGCAGGUCGGGCCCGGCCAUCCAGCUCAUGGAGCUCGGCAGGCUCAUCAACGAGAAGGCCAGGAGGAUGUUGUCCAUGGGGCAGAGGAAGCGGCUGCAGCUCGCCAGGCUGCUCGCCAUCGAUCGACCCAUCUGGCUGCUGGACGAGCCCUCCGUCGCGCUGGACGCAGAGGGUACCAGGCUGCUUGAACACAUCAUCGCGGAGCACCGGGAGAAGGGUGGCAUCGUGUUCGUGGCCACGCAUCUGCCGAUUCAGGUUGAGGAUUCUAUGUCGCUUCGGCUUCCCCAGAGGUUUCCUCGGAGGAAGACGCUGGUUGAUCUUAUCCAUUGAUGGCUUGACGCCAAUGUGACCAGGAAUUUAGUUGUAUCUCUCUAAUUCAUCUCCAGCUAUCUGUCUGAAUGUUGUCAGAGUAAUUUUUUUUUUGCUGGUGCUGCAUUUGUCAUCCUUUUUUGACAGCAUGACAAUACAUUAUCUAUGUUGAUAAUAUGUGCAGUUGUUCUUUGUGAUCACUGUUUUGAUGCAUUUGCCCAUGUAUUUGGGAACAAUAGAAGGCAUUUGCCAUGUCUGAUAUAUGUACAGCUGUUCUUUGCGAUCAUGGUGUUGAUGCAUUGACCCCCUUAUAUAUAUGGUACUUGCUGGUGGAAACUUUGUUGGCUGUUCAAUGUUUAGCAGGUUUAUUCACGCCUUGCAUGUCUGCGUGAAGCUUCAAGUGUUGGAUACUCGGCAAACUUGACCAAAUAUGGGGAGACCUUUGGACAGGAUCAGGUAUAGAUGUCUGAUUUGAGUGUCUCUUUUCUCAUAUUCUUGUGAAUUGACUAAGGUUGAUUUCUUCCAUAACAAAUUUUGUUUUAGUCUGAAUAUGUUAUUGUUGUCAUCUGAAUAUAUUCAGAAGUGGCUGAUUUUGCAUUUGUAGCAUGUGCAGUGUUUAAUUCACAAACAAUGUUUUUUACUACAUACAAUAACUACUAAUAAAUUAGUUUAGGCCAUGUCGACAAAAAUUGGUGCCCAGUUGCUGUAAAGCCCAAAAUUGGUAGAAGGAUAAUAAUAAAAAAAAUAAACAAAUAUAUUUAUUAUAGUGGUUUGGAAAUUCUUGAAACCUUGGAUUAAAUAAUAAUAAUAAUAGAAUUUUAAAUGGAAAGAAAAAUAAAAAGAAAAAGAAUGUGCGACAAAAAUAAUAAUAAUUAUUAUUAUAUAUACCUUCUUAUACUGGUAUUUUAAUUGUGCACUUGACCUAUGUGUCAAACUCACUAACAACUUCAAGAUUUAAAUGGUAAAUUUUGAAAUGAAGAAAGAAAUGCAAACCUAAAAGAAAAAGGAUAAAAAAAAGAGAAAUCCUCAAUGGGCCGAAUCCCUAGCCAGCCCAUUCCCCCUGCAUCGCCUGGGCGCGGCCCGCGCGCUCGCCCUCGCUGUCCCUGUCAAGCCAGGCCCGUUGGCCAGCCGCUCUGCGCCCACACUCCCUUCAUCCUGCCAUUACGCCUUACCUCGCUGACAACGUCAGCUUCUUCAACGGACUCCGCAGCUCGCAGAUCACGCAAUCCCCGGUAACAAACUCCGGCCACGCGCGCCCGUGCCGGGUCUUUCGCUGACCAGCGGGGCCCAGUCGUCAUCCUUCUUCCCCCACUCGCUCGACGCAGACCCAAUCCCAACAGAAAUCGCCGCAUGGCUCGCCGCUCACUUCGGAUCGGCCGAACGACCUCCUGGAUAUCGGGCUGCCCCACCCGAUGGUGUAUAAGGGACCCCGGCACUCGAUUCAUAUCUCUCGCCUCGCUGUUACUCGCCCUCCUCGCCACAAUAUCGAUAAUUUUGCGCCGUCGCGGGGAAAACAGGGGCUGCCGCGGGGGAACUUCGGCUAGCCGUCAUCCGCGCCUCCAGUGUGGGCCUCAGAGCCUUCCCUCGGUUGCGGGGCGGGCGCUGGUGGCCUCGCCACCUGGAAUUGUCGCCGGGGACUUCACCAAUUGGUCGCCGGACCUCUCCUAUCACGAUCGAGCCGCCGCGCAGCGAGGGCGGACUUCCUCGGAGCUUAAUCUGCGGUAUGGCUACCAUUUUCCUACUCGCCGUCUCUCCCUCUCCGUUUCGCACAAGGUUGCGCUAGGAUUAGGACUCCUCGGUACGCUCCCGGUUUGGGGUAGGAUGGAGGCGGGAUAAAGGGAAGGAAGAUGAGGCACGCAGUGGCCACGGCGGCGGCAUGACUGAUGUCCAGAGGCAACUUCGGCGGUUCGGUUCCCGCAACAGGGUUUCAGUGAUUUUUUUUUUUGGUUACGGAUGUUUACCUCGGCUGCGACGGCGAGCAGCAGCUUCUCCGCGGCGACGCCGGCGCAGGAUUUCAGUUGCAGGGGCCUAGGAGUAGGCGUUCACAGAGGAGGCACCGGAUACGAUCAUCCUCACCACCAGCAGUCAGGAAAGGGAGCAGGGGCACGGAGGUUACCUUGUUGCCGAGGAACUGGGGCCUAUGAGGCACAAAUCUGGUGGUUUCAACAAGGCCAACCCCAUGCCUGGCAAGGCCUAUGGAGCUCGGAGGAGGGCAGAGGCGCCGGGCAGCUCAGGCAGGACGAAGGGGAGGGGAGGGGAGGGGCAGGGCAGGUGGUACUGGUGGGCGCAGGAUAGCCCAUGGCUACUAAUGGCUGGGGGGCAUAUGCGGACUCCGCUUCGAGGAUUACGGAAACCGUUGCACUUCGAGGAUUACGGAAACCGUUGCUGAUCGCCUGAUUCACACGAACUCUGCCCUCCAUGGCCUAUAUAAGCUAGCCGCUAGUCCUUGUGUUGCCAAGGACCGAGUGGAUCGCAGCGGAGAAUUCGCCAUCGUAGGCCGGUGCGCGACGAAUUGCAGGCCGGAGUUGGAGACCGCCGCCCAAUCAGCUAAUUGACGUGGUAAGGUCGUGGCGCCACAAGAUUCGCGGUGAGCACAGAUUCGUCUUUGUUCCUACAUGGUGUAUCACCGCGUAGAGUGCGGGUCGCAAAUCACCGGUGGGCGCCGCUGUGGGCUAAGGGUGGCCUCGUGGAGGUGGAAAAGGGUCGCUGGACCGUCAAUCGAGAAUCAGUGGCUAGGAUUAAAAUCUAUUAUACCGUUUUGACUUGGGAUAGGGCUGAACCGCUGAAGGUUAGUCUGUUUUGCAGAAUUGAUUAAGUUAGUUGCUUGGUUUAUUAGAUUGAUUGAGUUAGUUGCUUGGUUGUUGAGAAAAUCAGGAAGGCUUUAACCCUUGUUAGUUCGUUGAGAAAAUAAAGGAGCCUCUAACUUUAAAGAGGAACGGACGACCGAAACUCAUCGUCCCAAACUCCCCGAUAUAUCCCUUUGCUAUACUCUCCUCUGCGAUCAGCCAGGAACCCUCAUCAGUGAAUGCUAAUUUUCUGUUUGGUGUUUGUAGAACCUUUUUGAACGAUCUAGGCUUCCUGGAAUUUGGAACGUGGAUUUGGUAAGUAUUAUCCUCCAUCCAGAUUUUCGUUUUUGCGUCAAUACUAUUCCUGUUCACGUUCCAAGAGUGAAUUUUGUAGAUCUGCUCCUCCAAUGGCAACCUUUAGCAAGGCUAGCAGGCUGUGUGGUGCAGUGACUAUGCAACCAAAACAGGUGUGGAGUCUACUCUCGAGAAUCCUGUCUAAGCUGCUCGGUCUUCCUGGUAUUUUGUUGAAGAAAUUCCGAAAGGAAGGUGUGUCGGAAUUGGAUGCUGUUGCAUUGCCAGAGCUAUCACAGGAUGUGUUGAUGGACAUCUUUAGUACACUUGAGGUCCCUGACCUCAUCCGAGCAGGCUCGGUUUGCUCGUCAUGGCAUGCUACUUACAAAUGCCUGCUCGACCUGAGGCAAUACAAGCAACCCCAGACACCAUGCCUGUUCUACACUUGUGAAUCUGCCGGUAGCAACAUAGGGUUUCUAUACAACCUCAAGGAAAAUAGGUCCUACAAGUUAACUCUACCGGAGCCACCCAUCCGCAGUAGGUUACUGAUCGGGUCCUCGAACGGUUGGUUGAUUACUGCAGAUGAGAGGUCUGAACUGCACCUUGUGAAUCCCAUAACUGGAGAACAGGUUGCACUUCCCUCUGUGAUUACCAUAGAGCAUGUGAAGCCCAUCUUUGAUGCAUCAGGUACUAUCCAUAUGUACGAGUUGUCAUAUGAAACACCACCCGACCUGUUUGAUCUUGGCGAUCUGCGCGAUGAACUCUACUUCAAGGCAUUUGUGUUUCCUGAUCCAUCCACCACUGGAAGCUACAUCGUGGUUCUUAUUCAUGAGCCACGUUCACGGCUUUCGUUUGCACGACCGGGAGAUGACAAGUGGACCUCGGUUGGACAAGGUAUCGGAUAUAAAGACUGCACAUAUGUGGAUGGUCUUUUGUAUACAGUGGAUUGGACUGGAGAAAUUGAUGCUUUUGAUUUUACCGCAUCCCCUGUUAAAAUGACAGUAAUUAUGGACAGUCUGAAGUAUCCUCCAUGUGAAAACCUGUACAUUAUUCAGGCUCCAUGGGGUGAUCUGCUGCAUGUUUGGAGGACUAUUGACGUUCCACCCAAUGCUCCAUCGUGGGACCCUGAAAAGUGCCUGGCAGAAACCGUAAAAAUACAAGUGCAUAAAGUGGACUUGGAAGCAAAGAAAUGGGUGAAAAUAAACAGGUUGCAGUGUGAUGGUGUUUUAUUUCUUGGCCACAACGAUUCACUUUACCGUAGUGCUCAAGUACAUCCAGGACUCAAGUCAAAUCAUGCAUACUUCACUGACGAUUGUAAAGAAUUGACUGUUGCAUUCAAAAAUUCCACACGUGAUAUGGGAGUUAUGGACUUGGAAAAUAAUGCCAAGAAGGAAAUUGUCUCUCAAAUUUGGUCCAACUGGCCCUGUCCCACUUGGAUAACACCUAAUCUUAUGAAGCUGAAUCAGGCAUUCAACAAAUAGCUUUUUAGGUAUUAUUAUUUAGUACAUUUGCUUUGUUAUUUUUUUUUAUCAAAAAUGGUGUAAUCGAUGUUAUGAUAAAAGAAUUGUAUGCCAUACAAUGGUCAUUUCUUCCUAAUAAGAUGUGUAGCGGUAAAAACGAUAAUGGUUGCUUGCAGAUUCAGAGAGAACGAAUAAAUUUUCACCACCUUUACUUGUGAUAGGAGCCAUCAAUUUAGGGUUCCACACUUAGGCUAGUUUGCCCCUUCGGGAUUGAAGGGAAUCGAGGGAGAAAUUAGUUUAUUUCUACCUAAAUCUCCUCCAAUCCAGGAGGACAUUUGAGUUUCAAAACUAGCUCUCAUUGAUUGCAGAUAAUUAAAUCCAAGAAGUAGAUAGUCGUUCUAUUUGACAUGUGGAAACAGGUAAAAACUAGUGAACUUUACAGUCUCGAGAAUAUAUUAAUACAAUCCACCGAUGGUGUACAACAUAUUCAAUGAAACAUUUUAUAUGUACAAACCUAAACGGCUAGCGUAAUUGUACAACGACACACAUUAAAGAAGUUUGCCAAAAUAACGAACAAUGAAACUAAACAUUUAACGGCCCUGUAGAAUUGUGAUGCUCAUGUUAUUCAGCGAUCUUCGCGCGUGUACUGACUUGACUGAUCAGUUUCAUAAUUCCUAGUAGUAAAAUAUACGGGUUCUUUGGGGUAGGAAGUGGGGUUGUUUCAAUUGCUAGCAUGAACACAACAGAUGGCAUGAGUGGCCUUGCAUAUGGACCGUCUUGCAUGCUGGCAGGCUUCUCGCGCCCCUCGGCGGGGGAGAUCCUCUGGAACGGACACGACAUCACCUCCCCCGGCGUCUUCCAGCAGUACAAGCUGCAGCUCAACUGGAUGUCGCUCAAGGACGCCAUGAAAGAGAAGCUCACAGUGCUCGAGAACGUCCAGUGGUUCGAGCUCCUCGAGGGGAAGGACAGCAGCAGGUCGGGCCCGGCCAUCCAGCUCAUGGGGCUCGGCAGGCUCAUGAACGAGAAGGCCAGGAGGAUGUUGUCCAUGGGGCAGAGGAAGCGGCUGCAGCUCGCCAGGCUGCUCGCCAUCGACCGACCCAUCUGGCUGCUGGACGAGCCCUCCGUCGCGCUGGACGCAGCGGGUACCAGGCUGCUUGAACACAUCAUCGCGGAGCACCGGGAGAAGGGUGGCAUCGUGUUCGUGGCCAUGCAUCUACCGAUUCAGGUUGAGGAUUCUAUGUCGCUUCGGCUUCCCCAGAGGUUUCCCCGGAGGAAGACGCUGGUUGAUCUUGUCCAUUGAUGGCUUGAUGCCAAUGUGACCAGGAAUUUAGCUGUAUCUCUCUAAUUCCUCUCCAGCUAUCUGUCUGAAUGCUGACAGAGCAAUAUUUUUUUUGCUGGUGCUGCAUUUGUCAUCCUUUUUUGACAACAUGACAAUACAUUAUCUAUGUUGAUAAUAUGUGCAGUUGUUCUUUCUGAUCACUGUUUUGAUGCAUUGGCCCAUGUAUUUGGGAACAAUAGAAGGCAUUUGCCAUGUCUGAUAUAUGUACAACUGUUCUUUGCGAUCAUGGUGUUGAUGCAUUGACCCCCUUAUAUAUAUGGUACUUGCUGGUGGAAACUCUGUUGGUUGUUCAAUGUUUAGCAGGUUUAUUCACGCCUUGCAUGUCUGCGUGAAGCUUUAAGUGUUGGAUACUCGGUAAACUUGACCAAAUAUGGGGAGACCUUUGGACAGGAUCAGGUAUAGAUGUCUGAUUUGAGUGUCUCUUUUCUCAUAUUCUUGUGAAUUGACUAAGGUUGAUUUCUUCCCUAACAAAUUUUGUUUUAGUCUGAAUAUGUUAUUGUUGUCAUCUAAAUAUAUUCAGAAAUGGCUGACUUUGCAUUUCUAGCAUGUGCAGUGUUUAAUUCACAAACAAUGUUUUUUACUACAUACAAUAACUACUAACAAAUUAGUUUAGGCCAUGUCGACAAAAUUUGGUGCCCAGUUGGUGUAAAGCCCAAAAUUGGUAGAAGGAUAAUAAUAAUAACAAAAUAAAUAAACAAAUAUAUUUAUUAUAGCGGUUUGGAAAUUCUUGAAACCUUGGAUUAAAUAAUAAUAAUAAUAAUAGAAUUUUAAAUUGAAAGAAAAAGAAAAAGAAAAAGAAUGCGCUACAAAAAUAAUAAUAAUAAUUAUAUAUAUCUUCUUAUACUGGUAUUUUAAUUGUGCACUUGCCUAUGUGUCAAACUCACUAACAACUUCAAGAUUUAAAUGGUAAAUUUUGAAAUGAGGAAAGAAAUGCAAACCUAAAAGAAAAAGGAUAAAAAAAAGAGAAAUCCUCAAUGGGCCGAAUCCCUAGCCAGCCCAUUCCCCCUGCAUCGCCUGGGCGCGGCCCGCGCGCUCGCCCUCGCUGUCCCUGUCAAGCCGGGCCCGUUGGCCAGCCGCUUUGCGCCCACACUCCCUUCAUCCUGCUAUUACGCCUUACCUCGCUGACAACGUGCCCCCCUGUCAGCUUCUUCAACGGACUCCGCAGCUCGCAGAUCACGCAAUCCCCGGUAACAAACUCCGGCCAUGCGCGCCCGUGCCGGGUCUUUCGCUGACCAGCGGGGCCCAGUCGUCUUCCUUCUUCCCCCACUCGCUCGACGCAGACCCAAUCCCAACAGAAAUCGCCGCAUGGCUCGCCGCUCACUUCGGAUCGGCCGAACGACCUCCUGGAUAUCGAGCUGCCCCACCCGAUGGUGUAUAAGGGACCCCGGCACUCGAUUCAUACCUCUCGCCUCGCUGUUACUCGCCCUCCUCGCCACAAUAUCGAUAAUUUUGCGCCGUCGCGGGGAAAACAGGGGCUGCCGUGGGGGAACUUCGGCUAGCCGUCAUCCGCGCCUCCAGUGUGGGCCUCAGGGCCUUCCCUCGGUUGCGGGGCGGACGCUGGUGGCCUCGCCACCUGGAAUUGUCGCCGGGGACUUCACCAAUUGGUCGCCGGACCUCUCCUAUCACAAUCGAACCGCCGCGCAGCGAGGGCGGACUUCCUCGGCGCUUAAUCUGCGGUAUGGCUACCAUUUUCCUACUCGUCGUCUCUCCCUCUCCGUUUCGCACAAGGUUGCGCUAGGAUUAGGACUGGCCACCGCCGCACCGGGCGUGUGCGCCACCGCCCGGGGUCGAGCUGGGAGUGAGUUGGCGGGCGCCGUCGAUUUCCUAGCGCACGGCUGAGAUUAGGUUAAGUGCUGCCUAUUGAAUCAGGGUCGUUGGAUGCGUAGCCAACGGCUGGGAUCGGUGGCGGAAUACCGUUUCGUGGCAUUGGAUCGUGACCGUCCGAUUGGAAACUGGCGGAUGGAUCCGGCCCCGCGUUGCAUGUUGUAACUUAAUUGUUUUCAGAAAUAAAGUUUGUUCAUUGCAUGUUGUGUUUCAGGUUAUAGGUAGGGAACAAGAUCCCUGAUUGAGCCUUCACAUCUAGCAUUUCCCAUCGCUUCAGAAUGGCCCAAACAACAUUAGAUCAGGAAGUCAAUUCUCUCUAAACUGUCACAGAACAAGAAAUCUCUCGUACAAAUUAAUGCCUAAGGAACAAAGGAAAUAAAUUGAGAUUGAGGUGGUGCUGUUCAUCGGCACUUAGUCCACGAAAAGUGGGGGAGUGCGAUCUUCGUAGCUGCACGUUCUCGGAGCAUAGCUGAGCGAGAAGGGUGGUCGGUGUGCGACGAAUUGUGGGCCGGAGUUGGAGACCGCCGCUCGAUCCCUAAUUGACGUGGUCAGGUCGCGGUGAGCACAGGUUCUGUAUGGUGUAUCACCUUUCGGGCGACCCCCCGGGAACUGAAAUCUCGGACCCCAGCUGGAAAACCCACACCCUGAACCCGCCAACAUAUAUCCGCAUCUGAAAAGAGUCCAAAACAAAGAACAAUAUCUCACCCACUGAACGGCCCAAAGCAAGCAGGCAGGCCUUUGCGCCAGUAGGAUAAAUAAAUAAAUAAAGCCAAUUAAAGAUAAAUAAUAUACAACAGUUGAAUCAGAGAACCGACUAGAACGACAAAAUGAAUGAAGAGGGAGGGGGGUAAGCCAUGGCUGUUAAGCCUUCCUUCGCUGAGAUUUUUCUAUCCCUCCAACUCAGAUGCUGCUCUGGUCAUUUGUCAAAUUUAGAUGGGAAAGGAGGAAUAAUCUUGACCAUUGAAGAAAAAUUGGACUAGGAUAGCGCCAUCAGUGGUUGAAGCUCAGAUAUCAGAUGCAUACUAAGGAUGAAGGGAUAUACAUUUAUUCAGCACAACCAUCACCAUCAGUAGAUUAUUCAGCACACCAAGAAAAGCAUUGGCUUAUGGAUUAUUUAGCAUUGCGAUAGAUCGUGCAGUAGGCUUAGCACCACAUCAAUCUACAAAGAUACUUCCGGCUACCUGGAAAUGCGCGAAAAUCAAAUAAUCAGGAAACUCUGGAGUUGCAUGGCACCACGAAAAUGUGGAUUGACAUUUGAUACCGAACUGCAAUAAUCAUCACUGCUGCUGGUGUGCGCAAGGACUGAAAACUUGCCUAGCCCAGGCAACGAUUCUCGUGUAGGAUUUUGAUGGCCUGCCUGGAUAUAAAAGCUGCCUGGCAGGUAGCAAGCAAACACGCUCGGGACGAAUGGAGAUGGGGAUAAUCAGGUUAUUGUCAGGCGGAGCUCCAAGCUCCCAAGGGAUAGUAGCUUGCAGCGGUCGGGCACGGCGACGACAUCGGAAUUGGGGGUGGGGCAGUGGCAGAUGGUCCCGAAGGAUUUUGGACAGUUUCCGACCUUACAUCGCGGCCGGAGGGCUCGGGCCAUUGCCAAUGGUAGGCGGUCGCAAGUAGAGGCGUAGCUGGCGAAGGUGGUGGCGUGGGGAUUGGGGUAGGAUGGAGGCGGGAUAAAGGGAAGGAAGAUGAGGCACGCAGUGGCCACGACGGCGGCAUGACUGACGUCCAGAGGCAACUUCGGCGGUUCAGUUCCCGCAACAGGGUUUCAGUGAUUUUUUUCUUGUUACGGAUGUUUACCUCGGCUGCGACGGCGAACAGCAGCUUCUCCGCGGCGACGCCGGCACAGGCUUUCAGUUGUAGGGGCCUAGGAGUAGGCGUUCACAGAGGAGGCACCAGAUAGGAUCAUCCUCACCACCAGCAGUCAGGAAAGGGAGCAGGGGCACGGAGGUUACCUUGUUGCAGAGGAACUGGGGCCUAUGAGGCACAAAUCUGGUAGUUUCAACAAGGCCAACCCCAUGCCUGUCAAGGCCUGUGGAGCCCGGAAGAGGGCAGAGGCGUCGGGCAGCUCGGGCAGGACGAAGGCAAGAGGGAGGGGAGGGGAGGGGAGGGGCAGGGCAGGUGGUACUGGUGGGCACAGGAUAGCCCGUGGCUACUGAUGGCUAGAGGGGGCAUAUGCGGACUCCGCUUCGAGGAUUAUGGAAACCGUUGCGCUUCGAGGAUUACGGAAGCUGUUGCGCUUCGAGGAUUACGGAAACCGUUGCUGAUCGCCUGAUCCACACGGACUCUGCCCUCCAUGGCCUAUAUAAACUAGCCACUAGUCGUUGUGUUGCCAAGGACCGAGUGGAUUGCAGCGGAGAAUUCGCCAUCGUAGCGCGAUCUUCGUAGCGUGCUGCACGUUCCUAGAGCAUAGUUGAGCGAGAAGGGUGGCCGGUGCGCGACGAAUUGCAGGCCAGAGUUGGAGACCGCCGCCCAAUCAGCUAGUUGACGUGGUAAGGUCGUGGCGCCACAAGAUUCGCGGUGAACACAGGUUCGUCUCUAUUGUUGUUGUUGUUCCUACAUGGUGUAUCACCGCGUAGAUUUAUAGUGUGUUUGGUUUGAGGAAUGAAGUGAUGUAUCUUCUUCUCACUCCUCACUUUUUUAUUUGUUUUGUGGAAUAGAAUGGGUUGAUUCAUCACCACCUCAUUCCUCAUAAGCUAAUAAUUAGUAUAUACAUGAGGAGUGAAUUGAUUCCACCAAAAUUGAUGGAAUGAACUUAUGAUGCAUCAUCUCAUGAAAUAUAGAGUGACUCCACAAACCAAACACACAAUUAGAGUGCGGGGGCGUCGGGUCGCAAAUCACCGGUGGGCGCCGCUGUGGGCUAAGGGCGGCCUCAUGGAGGUGGGAGAGGGUCGCUGGACCGUCAAUCAGUGGCUAGGAUUAAGAAUCUAUUAUACCGUUUCGACUUGGGAUAGGGUUGAACCGCUGAAGGUUAGUCUGUUUGGCAGAAUUGAUUAAGUUAGUUGCUCGGUUUAUUAGAUUGAUUGAGUUAGUUGCUUGGUUGUUGAGAAAAUCAGGAAGGCUUUAUCCCUUGUUAGUUCGUUGAGAAAAUAAAGGAGCCUCUAACUUUAAAGAGGAACGGACGACCGAAACUCAUCAUCCCAAACUCCCCUAUAUAUCCCUUUGAUAUACUCUCCUCUGCGAUCAGCCAGGAACCCUCGCCAGUGAAUGCUAAUUUUCUGUUUGUUGUUUGCAGAACCUUUUUAAACGAUCUUGGCUUCCUGGAAUUAGGAACGUGGAUUUGGUAAGUAUUAUCAUCCAUCCAGAUUUUCGUCUUUGCGUCAGUACUAUUCCUGUUCACGUUCCAAGAGUGAAUUUUGUAGAUCUGCUCCUCCAAUUGCGACCUUUAGCAAGGCUAACAGGUUGUGUGGUGCAGUGACUAUGCAACUAAAACAGCUGUGGAGUCUACUACUCUCGAGAAUCUUGCCUAAGCUGCUCGGUCUUCCUGGUAUUUUGCUGAAGAAAUUCCGAAAGGAAGGUGUGAUGGAAUUGGAUGCUGCUGCAUUGCCAGAGCUGCCACAGGAUGUGUUGAUGGACAUCUUUGGUACACUUGAGGUCCCUGACCUCAUCCGAGCAGGCUCGGUUUGCUCGUCAUGGCAUGCUACCUACAAAUGCUUGCUCGACCUGAGGCAAUACAAGCAACCCCAGACACCAUGCCUGUUCUACACUUGUGAAUCUGCCGGUAGCAACGUAGGGUUUCUAUACAGCCUCAAGGAAAAUAGGUCCUACAAGUUAACUCUACCGGAGCCACCCAUCCGCAGUAGGUUACUGAUCGGGUCCUCCAACGGUUGGUUGAUUACUGCAGAUGAGAGGUCGGAGCUGCACCUUGUGAAUCCCAUAACUGGAGAACAGGUUGCACUUCCCUCUGUGAUUACCUUAGAGCAUGUGAAGCCCAUCUUUGAUGCAUCAGGUACUAUCUGUAUGUACGAGUUGUCAUAUCAGACACCACCCGACCUGUUUGAUCUCGGUGAUCUGCGCGAUGAACUCUACUUCAAGGCAUUUGUGUUUCCCGAUCCAUCCACCACUGGAAGCUACAUCGUGGUUCUUAUUCAUGAGCCAUAUUCACGGCUUUCGUUUGCACGACCGGGAGAUGACAAGUGGACCUGGGUUGGACAAGGUAGCCAAUAUAAAGACUGCACAUAUGUGGAUGGUCUUUUGUAUACAGUGAAUUACUCUGGAGAAAUUGAUGCGUUUGAUUUUACCGCGUCCCCUGUUAAAAUGACAGUAAUUAUGAAAGAGCUGAAGUAUCAUGUAUGUGAAAACAUGUACAUUAUUCAGACUCCAUGGGGUGAUCUGCUGCAUGUUUGGAGGACUAUUGACGUUCCACCCAAUGCUCCGUCGUGGGUCCCUGGAAAAUGCAUGGUCGAAACCUUAAAAAUACAAGUGCAUAAAGUGGACUUGGAAGCAAAGCAACGAGUGGAAAUAAACAGAUUGCAGUGUGAUAGUGUUUUAUUUCUUGGCCACAACGAUUCACUUUGCCUUAGUACUCAAGUACAUCCAGAACUCAAGUCAAAUCAUGCAUAUUUCACUGACGAUUUUAAAGAAUUGACUGUUUUAUUAAAAAAUUGCAUGCGUGAUAUGGGAGUUAUGGACUUGGAAAAUAGUGUCAAGAAGGAAAUUGUCUCUCAAAUUUGGUCCAACUGGCCCUGUCCCACUUGGAUAACACCUAAUCUUAUGAAGUUGAAUCAGACAUUCAACAGAUAGCUUUUUAGGUAUUAUUAUUUAGUACCUUUGUUUUGUUAUUUUUUUAUCGAAAAUGGUGUAAUCGAUAUUAUGAUAAAAGAAUUGUACGUCAUACAAUGGUCAUUUCUUCCUAAUAAGAUGUGUAGCGGUAAAAACGAUAAUCGCUGCUUGCAGAUUCAGAGGGAACGAAUAAAUUUUCACCAGCAUUUCUUGUGAUAGGAGCCAUCAAUUUAGGGUUCCACACUUAGGCUAGUUUGCCCCUUCGGGAUUGAAGGGAAUCGAGGGAGAAAUUAGUUUAUUUCUACCUAAAUCUCCUCCAAUCCAGGAGAACAUUUGAGUUUCUAAACUAGCUCUCAUUGAUUGCAGAUAAUUAAAUCCAAGAAGCAGAUAGUCGUUCCAUUUGACAUGCGGAAACAUGUAAAAACUAGUGAACUUUAUAGUCUCGAGAAUAUAUUAAUACAAUCCACCGAUGGUGUACAACAUAUUCAAUGGAACGUUUUAUAUGUACAAACCUAAACGACAAGCAUAAUUGUACAACAACACACAUUAAAGAAGUUUGCCAAAAUAACGAACAAUGAAACUAAACAUUUAACAACCCUGUAGAAUUGUGAUGCUCAUGUUAUUCAGCGAUCUUCGCGCGUGUACUGACUUGACUGAUCAGUUUCAUAAUUCCUAGUAGUAAAAUAUACAGGUUCUUUGGGGUAGGAAGUGUCGGCGUUUCGGACCCGGGGGGUCAGUUAGCUAACCAGUAAAUUUGUCGCUGCGUGCCCCUGCCCAGAUGGGUUGGCGCUAGAUGGAACACAAGGGGAAACACGGCUUGUAUUAUCUCGCACCGGGGGUGUGCUCGUAGUAGGGGUUACAAGCGUCACGGGAGAGAGAGAGAGAGAGCCUGUUCGUUUGCUCGUUCUCCCCGCGCGACCCCCCCCCCCCCCCCCCGCAGGAAGGCCCUGGACCUCCCUUUUAUAGAUGCAAGGAGAGGGUCCAGAUGUACAAUGGGGGGUGUAGCUAGGCGCUAACGUGUCUGGCAGAGAAGUGCCUGAGCCCUGUGUACAUGCCAACGUGGCUGUCGAAGAGAUGCUUGAGCCCUGUGUACGCGAUAACGUGGCCGUCGGAGAAGUGCCCGAGCCCUAUGGAGGCACAGCUGGCGGUGCGGCUGGGAUUCUGCUGACGUCUCCUUGCUUCCGUAGGGGGUUGAGAACCACUGACGUCAAGAACGUACGCGGGGAACCAUCAUUACCUGUUACCGGGGCGAGCCAGAUGGGACGCCGGUCUUGUUCCCUCGUAGCCUGAGCUAGUUAGGGGUAUGGUAAUGAUGUAUCCCCUGUGGCGCGGUCGGUCCGAGCCCAAGGUCGGGCGAGGCGGAGACUUCUCCUGAGGCCGAGGCCGGGGUCGGGCGAGGACGUGAUUCCUCCCGAGGCCGAGGCUGAGGCCGAGCCCUGGGGUCGGGCAAGGCGGAGACCUCCUCCCGAGGCCGAGGCCUAAGGUCGGGCGAGGCGGAGCUUCCUGUUGCGCCCAAGGCUGAACUCGGCUUGUUGUCAGUCUUACUCCGGUGGGUGGCACAACAGUCGGAGCGGGGCGAGCGGCGCUGUUUUCCUGUCAGAUCGGUCUAUGGAGGGGUGAAGUGAGUGCGGUCACUUCGACCUUGCCGACUGAGGCGCGCGUGUCAGGAUAAGGUGCCAGGCGGUCUUCGCAUUGAAUGCGCCUGCGACACGGUCGGUUGGUAAGGCGAUUUGGCCAAGGUUGCUUCUCGACGAAGCCUAUCCGAGCUGGGCUUCGGGCGAGCCGAGGGUGCGCCCACCGCCUGAGGAGGCCCUCGGGUGAGGCGUGAAUUAGUCCGGGACUACUGUUCCCGCCCGAGGCCGGGUCGGGUGAGGCGAGAUUGCGUCCCUUGGUAGACGAGGUCUUGACCUGAACCGUGCCCAUCAGUCUUUGCAGUUUGUGCUGAGGGUGUUUACCAGCCGUGUUUAGGAGUGUUGGGGGUACCCCUAAUUACGGUACCCGACAGUAGCCCCCGAGCCUCGAAGGGAGUGUUGGUACUCGCUUGGAGGCUUUGCCGCAUUUCUUUGUGAGGGGACCGACCUUUCUCGGUUAUGCUUUGUUUCGGUGGGUGCACGCGAGCGCACCCGACGGGUGUAGCCCCCGAGGCCUCGGAGGAGUGGUUUGACUCCUCUGAGGUCUUAAUGCCUUUCGUGAUGCUUCGGCCGACCUUGUUGUUCCCUCAUGCGGCCUGGCCGUAGCCCGGGUGCAUGGUCAGGUUCUGAGUUUUUAGGCUGGUUUGUUGACGCUGUCAACAGUUUGGCCAUAGCCGGGUUGCGAGAGCAGCCCCCGAGCCUCUGCACGGAGCGAGAGGACGAUCAAGGACUAUCUCGACUUUUAUUAUACGCCCCUUCAUCGCCUUUCCGCAAGGAGGAAGGGGGGGAAGCGCCAUGUUGCCCUCGGAGGGUGCCGAACAUGGUGUCUCCAGUGAGUUGCUAACGGGUGAUAUGAGUGGACGCCCGUGCCCCGUUCGAUAAGGGUCGGCUAGUGGCCCAGAGGCACGCUCCAAAAGUACCUGCAGGUGAUUUGCCAGACCCGGACCCAUUCGAUAGGGUCUGAGGGCUCGAUGCCUCCCUCUGGUGGGAUUCCGUUACAAAAUCGCUCCUACUGGUCUCGGAAAUGUCCUAGGGUACCUCGGGAGCGUAGCCCGAGCCUCGGCCAUGUAACGGACGUACCUAGAGUCAUCCCUCACUCUGCGUGCUCUGGGGCGGCUGUCGAACCCUUCUUAGGGGCCAGCCUUCGAACCCCUGAUCAGUAAAGGGCGCGGAGCCCGAGUGCUCUGGGGCAGCUGUCGAACCCUUCCAAUGGGCCAACCUUCGAACCCCUGAUUAGUAAUGGGCUCGGAGCCUGUUCCCUUCGCUGAGAAGGAUCCUUUUCGAAAUAUCCCCUUUCCCGGUCCCUGUAGUAAGAGAGAGAAAGAAGAAGAGGAAAAGGAUAUGAAUUUAAAUGGUGUGGCGCACCUUUUUUGACGCGGUCGUCAUGGCGGAGGUGAAACGACGCCCGCUUCGCCUGCCAAAGGUGUCGCUUGCCCUGCCGAGGAGUUAAUGCAACGGGACAGGCGAUUCGCGGGGCGGCCGUUGUGCGUGCUCGAGUCGUUCGAGGAACGGAACACGGGCGCGUCGUCUUCAUGCCAUGGGAGAGGGCUCUCCUGCCGCUUCAGGAGGGGACGCGAGCCCGCAGGCGAUUCGACUGUUGCUUCUGCCCGUCUGCUGCUGCAAUUACUGCAGGGCUGCCUCAAGUCGCGGCACUGUUCCGCAUUCGAGAAGACAUGGCAUUGGCGCAAGUGGCGGUGCGGUUUCUUUGCACGCAGUAACCGUCGCACCGGUUGCAUGACAUGCAGGCCCGGGCCUUCACGCUGACCCACUGGACACGAUGAAGCCGAAAGGGUGCACAACCGUGGUGCGGUUGCACGCCCCUUGCAUAGCGGUCCGCCCUUUCGCCCGCUGGUUCUGGCGAGGAUGGAGGAACGCUUAUAACCGCGGGGCGGUUACCUGCUUCGUGUGCGGCGGUUCGGCUUCUUCUGUUUCCGGUCAGCUCGCAUGACAUGUGGGACCCAGCCCCCGCGUCGGAGGGUGGGAACCCUGGAGCUCAUCGGUGGAGACUUUGCCCAUGGCGCUUGGAAUGCGAGUGGGGAGAGCCGCCUUUAAAAAUGGAUCGAUCCCCCGGGCAGUAGACAUGCCUCCGCACUCCCCUCAUGCAUUGCGCCAUUCCACCUUCCGAGCCCCCGGAUGGGGUGCACCCGUGUUGCCUUCGUCUUGCUGCCGUUGGAGGAGCGUGACCCCGCGGGGGUUGGCGCUCUUCAGACAUCGCUCGACUUCAAGGAUUUUCAUCAGGCAGCCCGGCUGCAGUCCCCCGCCGGCGGUCACCCAGGAUGAUGACCGUAGGCCUUGUGGUGGGGAGAAGCAAGCCGGGCUGCGGCCUCUGCCCCACCCUCAGCUUCAAGGAUGUUCAUCAUCCUCGCUGUGGCGGAGGGCGAGCCGAGCCAGGGUUCUACCUCCCGCAUGGCUGGCAAGCUGCUUCUUCCUUCAGCAUUCAGGGGAGAGAGCGCUCACCGGCCUUGCGGAGGGGGCGAACUUCGACAACGCUGGGUCGGUCGGCCGCAAGCGUCGUCAGCUGCAGCGUGCCUGGCUUGCUGGCUCAGCUGGCUCUGGCGCGGCCUCCGACGCCGCCUCAUGCCGCUUGAUCCGGGCGUUGCUGUCCGUCCACCGCACGGGCGGUGUCGCGCCGUGCGCACCGGGGACCGUCCAAGACGUCGUACGUCGCAUGGGUGGCGUUCGUGUUCUUGGAUUGUCUUGUCCUCACUCUGGCACGAUGCCUCCGCGCGGAGGUCGGCGCCGGCCCAUCUGGGAGGACGUGAGUGGGGAUCUGCCGGUGCAGGCUGGGGCGACUGCCAUUUGCCGGUGCGGUGUCAGUGGGCAGGUGGCCGCUAUCGUCGGUGCUGAGGUGGUGGUCGCCAGAGGAGGUUGUCUCCGCCGAUGAGACCGUCGGCGCCACAUGCGGUCGCCGGCGAGCCACCCAGAGUUUGUUAUCCCGCAGGCCCUCUGGUGUGGAGGUUGUUCAUACCCGCGGGAGUGGAACCGGAGUCCCGUUUGUAAUGGCACCCUGAGUAUGGGUGUUUGUUCAUUGUGGCCGCUGAGGCCUGAACAUUUGGGCAUUUUAGCGUAAUGUCAUGUUUCUUCCUCAUUUUGAGCACUAGGACAUGCCUGUCGGCUAGCGGAACCACUUAACCGAGCGUGAGUUGCCUUGCGCGGAAGGUGACGAGUGAGGUAUCCGUAUCCCAAAGGCGUAGGAGUCCCUCGGCUCGGUCGGCCUUGCCGCUCAAGGCCUCUCUUGCUCAGUUUUAGAACCUUCGGCCGCUCUGCGAUGAGCUGGAGCCAGAGGCAGCGGUGUCGGCGUGGACAGAGGUGGAGUCGGCUCGAAAAGAGGAUUCGUCGACCCGGGAGCAGGCGACUUCCUAGGCCGAGGUAGUGCAGCAGCGGCGGCUGGAGCUUGGCCAGGUCAUCCGCGAGCGGGACCAACCCCGGAGUCAUGCUGUCGAGGCCAUGAGCCGGGUUGAGGUCCUCGGAGGACAGCUGGUUGAGGCUUCAGAGCGGCCAGUCGAGGUGUCCGCUCAGGCCGGGACCCUGGUGGAGACGCUGGUUGUGAGGGCCCAAGCGCGGUGCUGGCGUCCUCCUUCAAGGUGGAGAUCCUUUCGCCCGUAUCGCCGUCCGAGGCUGGGCCAGGUUCCGCCGAGGGUGGAAACGUCGCCGAGGGUGCUGCUGCUCCCCCUGCCGAUGUCUGAACCUACAUGAACAGUUUGUCUGUAGUAUGCGUAUGUUUUUCGCGGACGCUGAGGCCUAAACACUUUUAUCGUCGUGUUAUAAAGGUGUGUUUCCUUUCCUCUCGUUUUGAGUAUCAAGACUUGUUCGUCGGUAGCAGAAUCGCUUAUCCGAGCGAGAGUUACUUUUCGCGGAAGGUGAUGAGUGAGGUAUCCGUAUCCCGGAGGCGUAGGAGUCCCUCGGCUCGGUCAACCUUGCCGCUUACGUGCACUCUCACUCGUUUGCAGGAUUCUGUUAUCGAUAUAUUCGAGAAGGCACGAAAGUCGUUUUCUACCCGAGCGUUAGGACUUGUUCGGUAGCAGAAUCGCUUAUCCGAGCGUGAGUUACUUUUCGCGGAAGGUGAUGAGUGAGGUAUCCAUAUCCCGGAGGCGUAGGAGUCCCUCGGCUCGGUCGGCCUUGCCGCUUACGUGUACUCUCAUCGUUUUUAGGACCUUGCUAUCGAUAUAGUCGAAAGCGCGAAAGUCGUUUUGGUAGAAAACUUUUCCGAGGAAAAUUUUGACGCAGAGGGGGUUCCCCCCUUCUAGCCCCCGAGGGAGGGUCGGGCUUUGCCGAGGCAAGGCUGAUCCUUCCUUGACGGUUAGACUUUAUUUACGUAUGUAAAGGAAACGAGGUAUAUGAACGACUUGAAACAUCUUAAGGGUAGAAGCGACGUAGCUGUUGGAUGUUCCACGCGUUGCUGUAGACCUCGCCUUGAUCGUUGGCCAGCUUGUAUGUUCCGGGCUUCAAAAUCUUGGCGAUGAUGAACGGCCCUUCCCAGGGAGGAGUAAGCUUGUGGUGCCCUCGGGCGUCUUGUCGCAGCCGAAGUACCAAGUCUCCCACCUGGAAGCCUCGACGCCGAACCCUUCGGGCGUGGUAGCGUCGCAGGGACUGCUGAUACCGCGCCGAGUGUAGUAAGGCCACGUCCCGAGCUUCUUCGAGCUGGUCCAGUGAGUCUUCUCGGCUGGUCUGGUUGCUUUGGUCAUCGUACACCUUUGUCCUCGGGGAACCAUAUUCUAAGUCUGUGGGUAAGAUAGCCUCGGCCCCAUAGACUAGAAAGAACGGCGAGAAACCCGUGGCUCGGCUCGGCGUCGUCCUCAGACUCCAGACCACCGAGGGUAGCUCUUUCAUCCACCGCUUGCCAAACUUGUUGAGGUCGUUGUAGAUCCUUGGUUUUAGUCCCUGCAAAAUCAUACCGUUGGCACGCUCCACCUGCCCAUUCGUCAUGGGGUGAGCUACGGCGGGCCAGUCCACACGAUGUGGUGGUCCUCACAGAAGUCCAGGAACUUAUUCCCAGUGAACUGCGUGCCAUUGUCGGUGAUGAUGGAGUUCGGGACCCCAAAGCGAUGGAUGAUGUUUGUGAAGAACGCCACCACCUGCUCGGACCUGAUGCUGGUUAGGGGUCGGACCUCGAUCCACUUGGAGAAUUUGUCGAUGGCGACCAGCAGGUACGAGAAGCCCCCGGGUGCCUUCUGCAAGGGACCGACGAGGUCCAGACCCCACACGGCAAACGACCAGGUGAUGGGUAUUGUCUGUAGGGCCUGAGCGGGCAGGUGUGUCUGUCUUGCGUAGAAUUGACACCCUUGGCAGGAGCGUACCAUUCUAGUGGCGUCGGCCACCGCGGUCGGUCAGUAGAAGCCUUGUCGGAAAGCGUUCCCCACGAGGGCUCGAGGUGCUACAUGGUGACCGCAAGCCCCCGAGUGUAUUUCUUGCAACAGCUCCUGUCCUUGGGCGACGGAUAUGCAUCGUUAGAGAAUGCUUGAGGGGCUGCGGUGGUAGAGCUCCUUUUCAUCACCCAGUAAGACGAACGACUUGGUGCGCCGCGCCAGUCGCCGAGCUUCGGCCUUGUUGAGGGGCAGCUCUCCUCGGAGGAGAUAUUCUAGGUACGGGGCCUGCCAGUUCGGGUUUGGUGUGACCCCAUUCCGCUCUCCCUCGACGCGCAAGGUCUCACCCUCAGCGGUCGAGGGUACCUUGGGCUGGGUCGAGGCCCCCUCGGGCUCGGGCGUGUCGUCGAUCUUGACGGAGGGUUGAUGUAUGUCUCUGGAGAAGACGUCCGGGGGAACCGUUGUCCGCCCCGAGGCUAUUUUCGCCAGCUCAUCUGCAGUCUCGUUGUACCGUCGAGCGAUAUGAUUGAGCUCCAACCCGUAGAACUUGUCUUCCAGGCGCCGAACUUCGUCGCAAUAGGCCUCCAUCUUCCGAUCGCGGCAGUGGGAGUUCUUCAUGACUUGGUCAAUGACAAGUUGCGAGUCGCCACGAGCAUCGAGGCGGCGAACCCCUAGCUCGACAACGAUGCGUAGCCCGUUAACCAAAGCCUCAUACUCGGCCACGUUGUUUGAUGCCGGAAAAUGGAGGCGCAGAAAGUAGCGCACAUGUUUCCCGAGGGGUGAGAUGAAGAGCAGGCCCGCACCUGCUCCUGUUUUCAUCAGCGACCCAUCGAAGUACAUGGUCCAAAGUUCGGGUUGGAUUGGGGCUGUCGGCAAUUGGGUGUCGACCCAUUCAGCCACGAAGUCCGCCAAGACUUGGGAUUUUAUGGCCUUCCGAGGAGCGAACGAGAUUGUCUCGCCCAUGAGUUCCACUGCCCACUUUGCUAUCCUACCCGAGGCCUCUCGGCACUGGAUGAUCUCCCCCAGGGGGAAGGAUGACACCACAGUCACUGGAUGAGACUCGAAGUAGUGUCGCAAUUUUUGCCGCGUCAAAAUUACUGCGUAUAGUAGCUUCUGGAUUUGUGGGUAGCGGAUCUUGGUCUCGGAUAGCACUUCGCUGAUGAAGUAGACCGACCUCUAGACGAGCUGUGCAUGCCCUUCUUCUCGUCUCUCGACUACGAUCGCGGAGCUGACCACCUGAGUGGUUGCGGCUACGUAGAUCAAGAGGGCUUCUCCCGCAGCGGGGGGCACCAAGACGGGCGCAUUUGUAAGGAGUGCAUUCAAGUUUCCGAGGGCUUCCUCGGCCUCGGGGGUCCAAGUGAAGCGCUCGACCUUCCUUAAGAGGCGGUACAAGGGUAAUCCUUUCUCGCCAAGGCGCGAGAUGAAGCUGCUCAGAGCCGCAAGGCAUCCCAUGACCCUUUGUACUCCUUUCAAAUCUUUGAUAGGCCCCAUGUUGGUGAUGGCCGUGAUUUUCUCUGGGUUGGCCUCGAUGCCCCGCUCGGAGACGAUGAACCCCAGGAGCAUGCCUCGGGGGACUCCGAAGACACACUUCUCGGGAUUGAGCUUCACGCCCUUCGCUCUCAGACACUUGAAUGUCAUUUCAAGGUCAGAGAGGAGGUCGAAGGCUUUCCUCGUCUUGACAACGAUGUCAUCGACGUAAGCCUCGACCGUUCGGCCGAUGUGCUCUCCGAACACGUGGUUCAUGCACCUUUGGUAUGUCGCACCUGCAUUCCUCAAGCCAAAUGGCAUAGUAGUAUAACAGUACAUGCCAAAAGGAGUGAUGAAAGAAGUCGCGAGCUGGUCGGAUUCUUUCAUCUUGAUUUGGUGAUAACCUGAAUAGGCAUCAAGGAAUGACAGGGUUUCGCACCCAGCAGUGGAGUCCAUAAUUUGAUCGAUGCGAGGCAGAGUGUAGGGAACCUUCGGACAUGCUUUGUUUAGACCAGUGUAGUCUACACACAUCCUCCAUUUCCCACUGAUAGUCGCCUAGAGGGGGGGGGGUGAAUAGGGCGAAACUGAAAUUUACAAAUAUAAACACAACUACAAGCCGGGGUUAGCGUUAGUAAUAAGAAACGAGUCCGCAGGAGAGGGCGCAAAACAAAUCCCAAUCGAAUAAGCAAGUGAGACACGGAGAUUUGUUUUACCGAGGUUCGGUUCUUCCAAACCUACUCCCCGUUGAGGAGGCCACAAAGGCCGGGUCUCUUUCAACCCUUCCCUCUCUCAAACGGUCCCUCGGACCGAGUGAGCUUCUCUUCUCAAAUCAAAGCCGGGAACAAAACUUCCCCGCAAGGGCCACCACACAAUUGGUGCCUCUUGCCUUGAUUAUAAUGGAGUUGUGUUCUCAAGAACAAGUGAGAAAGAAAAGAAGCAAUCCAAGCGCAAGAGCUCAAAUGAACACGGCAAAUCACUCUCACUAGUCACUAGGGCUUUGUGUGGAAUUGGAGAGGAUUUGAUCUCUUUAGUGUGUCUAGAAUUGAAUGCUAGAGCUCUUGUAGUAGUUGAGAAGUGGAAAACUUGGAUACUAUGAAUGGUGGGGUGGUUGGGGUAUUUAUAGCCCCAACCACCAAACUUGACCGUUGGCUGGAGGCGUCUGCUCGAUGGCGCACCGGACAGUCCGGUGCACACCGGACAGUCCGGUGCCCCUGCCACGUCAUCACUGUCGUUGGAUUCUGACCGUUGGAGCUUCUGACUUGUGGGCCCUCCUGGAUGUCCGGUGCACACCGGACAUGUACUGUUUGAUGUCCGGUGCACCGGUAUGGGCAUGUCUGACGUCUGCGCGCGCUGCGCGCGCAUUAAAUGCACCGCAGGGAGCCGUUGGCGCCGAAAAGAGCCGUUGCUCCGCUGGUACACCGGACAGUCCGGUGCACACCGGACAGUCCGGUGAAUUUUAGCGGAGCGGCUGCCACGCGAACCCGAGGCUGGCGAGUUCCGGAGACCGUGCUUCCUUGGAGCACCGGACAUGUCCGGUGCACACCGGACAGUCCGGUGAAUUAUAGCGCGCCGGCUUCCGAGAAAUCCCGAGAGUGAAGAGUUUGAGUCUGAGUCCCCUGGUGCACCGGACAGGUACUGUUUACUGUCCGGUGGCACACCGGACAGUCCGGUGCGCCAGACCAGGGGUGCCCUCGGUUGCCCCUUUGCUCCUUUAUUGAAUCCAAAACUUGGUCUUUUUAUUGGCUGAGGGUGAACCUUUUACACCUGUAUAAUCUACACACUUGGGCAAACUAGUUAGUCCAAUUAUUUGUGUUGGGCAAUUCAACCACCAAAAUUAUUUGAGAACUAGGUGUAAGCCUAAUUCCCUUUCAAUCUCCCCCUUUUUGGUGAUUGAUGCCAACACAAACCAAAGCAAAUAUAGAAGUGAAUAAUUGAACUAGUUUGCAUAAUGUAAGUGUAAAGGUUGCUUGGAAUUGAGCCAAUAAAACUACUUACAAGAUAUGCAUGGAAUGUUUCUUUCUUAGAUAGCAUUUUGGACCACGUUUGUACCACGAGUUUUGUUUUUGCAAAUUCUUUUGUAAAUCCUUUUCAAAGUUCUUUUGCAAAUAGUCAAAGGUAAAUGAAUAAGAGUUUGCAAAGCAUUUUCAAGAUUUGAAAUUGUCUCCCCCUGUUUCAAAUGCUUUUCCUUUGACUAAACAAAACUCCCCCUAAAAAGAUCCACCUCUUAGUGUUCAAGAGGGUUUUGAUAUACCAUUUUUGAAAUACUACUUUCUCCCCCUUUUGAACACAAUAGGAAAACCAAUUGAUAAAUACUUAAUACUAAGUCUUUUUGAAAAAGGUGGUGGUGCGGUCCUUUUGCUUUGGGCUCAUACUUUCUCCCCCUUUUUGGCAUGAAUCGCCAAAAACGGAAUCAUCAGAGCCCUUAGGUACUAUCUUCCCCUUUGGUCAUAAGUAAAUGAGUUAAGAUUAUACCAAAGACGAAGUCCUUUUCUUUGAUGCUCAUUUCUCCCAAAAAAAUAGAGAGAUGCUUGGAGUGAUGGCGAAGUAUGAGUUACGGAGUGGAAGCCUUUGUCUUUCGCCGAAGACUCCAAUUCCUUUCAAUGUACCUAUGACUUGGUUUAAAAUAGACUUGAAAACGCAUUAGUCAUAGCAUAUGAAAGAGACAUGAUCAAAGGUUCAUUUAUGAGCUAUGUGUGCAAGCUAGCAAAAGAAAUUUCUAGAAUCAAGAAUAUUGAGCUCAUGCCUAAGUCGGGUAAAAGAUUGUUCAUCAAGUGGCUUGGUAAAGAUAUCGGCUAAUUGGUUUUUAGUAUUAAUGUAAGAAAUCUCGAUAUCCCCUUUUUGUUGGUGAUCCCUAAGAAAAUGAUACCGAAUGGCUAUGUGCUUAGUGCGGCUAUGCUCGACGGGAUUGUCGGCCAUUUUGAUUGCACUCUCAUUAUCACAUAGCAAAGGGACUUUGGUUAAUUUGUAACCGUAGUCCCGCAGGGUUUGCCUCAUCCAAAGCAAUUGCGCGCAACAAUGGCCUGCGGCAAUAUACUCGGCUUCGGCGGUGGAAAGAGCGACCGAAUUUUGCUUCUUUGAAGCCCAAGACACCAAGGAUCUUCCCAAGAACUGGCAAGUCCCCGAUGUGCUCUUCCUAUUAAUUUUGCAUCCUGCCCAAUCGGCAUCCGAAUAACCAAUCAAAUCAAAUGUGGAUCCCCGAGGGUACCAAAGCCCAAACUUAGGAGUAUAAGCCAAAUAUCUCAAGAUUCGUUUUACGGCCGUAAGGUGGGAUUCCUUAGGGUCGGAUUGAAAUCUUGCACACAUGCAUACGGAAAGCAUAAUGUCCGGUCGAGAUGCACAUAAAUAAAGUAAUGAACCAAUCAUCGACCGGUAUACCUUUUGAUCCACGGACUUACCUCCCGUGUCGAGGUCGAGAUGCCCAUUUGUUCCCAUGGGUGUCUUGAUGGGCUUGGCAUCCUUCAUCCCAAACUUGCUUAGAAUAUCUUGAGUAUACUUCGUUUGGCUAAUGAAAGUGCCCUCUUGGAGUUGCUUGACUUGGAAUCCUAGAAAAUAUUUCAACUCCCCCAUCAUAGACAUCUCGAAUUUCUUUGUCAUGAUCCUACUAAAUUCUUCACAUGUAGAUUCGUUAGUAGACCCAAAUAUAAUAUCAUCAACAUAAAUUUGGCAUACGAACAAAUCAUUGUCAAGAGUUUUAGUGAACAAAGUAGGAUCGGCCUUGCCGACUUUGAAGCCAUUAGCAAUAAGGAAAUCUCUUAGGCAUUCAUACCAUGCUCUUGGGGCUUGCUUGAGCCCAUAAAGCGCCUUAGAGAGCCUAUAGACAUGAUUAGGAUACUCACUGUCUUCAAAGCCGGGAGGUUGCUCAACAUAGACCUCUUCCUUGAUUGGUCCGUUGAGGAAAGCACUUUUCACGUCCAUUUGAUAGAGCUUAAAGCCAUGGUAAGUAGCAUAGGCCAAUAAUAUGCGAAUUGACUCAAGCCUAGCUACGGGUGCAUAGGUUUCACCGAAAUCCAAACCUUCGACUUGUGAAUACCCUUUGGCCACGAGUCGAGCUUUGUUCCUUGUCACCACACCAUGCUCAUCUUGCUUGUUGCGGAAGACCCAUUUGGUUCCUACAACAUUUUGGUUAGGACGUGGAACUAAAUGCCAUACCUCGUUCCUCGUGAAAUUGUUGAGCUCCUCUUGCAUCGCCACCACCCAAUCCGAAUCUUGGAGAGCUUCCUCUACCCUGUGUGGCUCAAUAGAGGAAACAAAAGAGUAAUGCUCACAAAAAUGAGCAACACGAGAUCGAGUAGUUACCCCCUUAUGAAUGUCGCCGAGGAUGGUGUCGACGGGGUGAUCUCGUUGGAUUGCUUGGUGGACUCUUGGGUGUGGCGGUCUUGGUUCUUCCUCAUCCUCCUUUUCUUGAUCAUUUGCAUCUCCCCCUUGAUCAUUGCCAUCAUCUCGAGGUGGCUCAUCUUCUUGAUUUUGCCCUUCAUCAACUUGAGCCUCAUCCUCAUUUUGAGUUGGUGGAGAUGCUUGCAUGGAGGAGGAUGGUUGAUCUUGUGCACUUGGAGACUCUUCGGAUUCCUUAGGACACACAUCCCCAAUGGACAUGUUCCUUAGCGCUAUGCAUGGAGCCUCUUCAUUACCUAUCUCAUCAAGAUCAAUUUGCUCUACUUGAGAGCCGUUAGUUUCAUCAAACACAACGUCACAUGAGACUUCAACUAGUCCAGUGGACUUGUUAAAGACCCUAUAUGCCCUUGUGUUUGAGUCAUAUCCUAGUAAAAAGCCUUCUAUAGUUUUAGGAGCAAAUUUAGAUUUUCUACCUCUUUUAACAAGAAUAAAGCAUUUGCUACCAAAAACUCUAAAGUAUGAAAUGUUGGGCUUUUUACCGGUUAGGAGUUCAUAUGAUGUCUUCUUGAGGAUUUGGUGAAGAUAUAACCGGUUGAUGGCGUAGCAGGCGGUGUUGACUGCUUCGGCCCAAAACCGGUCCGGUGUCUUGUACUCAUCAAGCAUGGUUCUUGCCAUGUCCAAUAGAGUUCGAUUCUUCCUCUCCACUACACCAUUUUGUUGUGGAGUGUAGGGAGAAGAGAACUCAUGCUUGAUGCCCUCCUCCUCAAGGAAGCUUUCAAUUUGAGAGUUCUUGAACUCCGUCCCAUUGUCGCUUCUAAUUUUCUUGAUCCUUAAGCCGAACUCAUUUUGAGCUCGUCUCAAGAAUCCCUUUAAGGUUUCUUGGGUUUGAGAUUUUUCCUGUAAAAAGAAUACCCAAGUGAAGCGAGAAUAAUCAUCCACAAUAACAAGACAAUACUUACUCCCGCCGAUGCUUAUGUAAGCAAUCGGGCCGAAUAGAUCCAUGUGGAGUAGCUCAAGCGGCCUGUCGGUCGUCAUGAUGUUCUUGUGUGGAUGAUGGACACCAACUUGCUUCCCUGCCUGGCAUGCACUACAAAUCCUGUCUUUCUCAAAAUGAACAUUUGUUAAUCCUAAAAUGUGCUCUCCCUUUAGAAGCUUAUGAAGAUUCUUCAUCCCAACAUGGGCUAGUCGGCGGUGCCAGAGCCAACCCAUGUUAGUCUUAGCAAUUAAGCAUGUGUCGAGCUCAGCUCUAUCAAAAUCUACUAAGUAUAGCUGACCCUCUAACACACCCUUAAAUGCUAUUGAAUCAUCACUUCUUCUAAAGACAGUGACACCUACAUCAGUAAAAAGACAGUUGUAGCCCAUUUGACAUAAUUGUGAAACAGAAAGCAAGUUGUAAUCUAAUGAAUCAACAAGAAAAACAUUAGAAAUGAAAUGGUCAGGUGAAAUAGCAAUUUUACCCAAACCUUUGACCAAACCUUGAUUUCCAUCCCCGAAUGUGAUAGCUCGUUGGGGAUCUUGGUUUUUCUCAUAUGAGGAGAACAUCCUUUUCUCCCCGGUCAUGUGGUUUGUGCACCCGCUGUCGAGUAUCCAACUUGAGCCCCCGGAUGCAUAAACCUACAAAACAAAUUUAGUUCUUGACUUUAGGUACCCAAACGGUUUUGGGUCCUUUGGCAUUAGACACAAGAACUUUGGGUACCCAAACACAAGUCUUGGAACCCUUGUGUUUGCCCCCAACAAAUUUGGCAACGACCUUGCCGGAUUUGUUAGUCAACACAUAAGAAGCAUCAAAAGUUUUAAAUGAAAUAACAUGAUCAUUUGAUGCAUUAGGAGUUUCCUUUCUAGGCAACUUGGCACGGGUUGGUUGCCUAGAGCUAGAUGUCUCACCCCUAUACAUAAAAGCAUGGUUAGGGCCAGAGUGAGACUUCCUAGAAUGAAUUUUCCUAAUUUUGGCCUCGGGAUAACCGGCAGGGUACAAAAUGUAGCCCUCGUUAUCCUGAGGCAUGGGAGCCUUGCCCUUAACAAAGUUAGACAAGUUCUUAGGAGGGGCAUUAAGUUUGACAUUGUCUCCCUUUUGGAAGCCAAUGCCAUCCUUGAUGCCAGGGCGUCUCCCAUUAUAAAGCAUGCUACGAGCAAAUUUAAAUUUCUCAUUUUCUAAGUUGUGCUCGGCAAUUUUAGCAUCUAGUUUUGCUAUAUGAUCAUUUUGUUGUUUAAUUAAAGCCAUAUGAUCAUGAAUAGCAUCAAUAUCAACAUUUCUACAUCUAGUACAAAUAGAUACAUGCUCAACAAUAGAUGUAGAUGGUUUGCAAGAAUUAAGUUCAACAAUCUUAGCAUGAAGAAUAUCAUUUUUAUCUUUAAGAUUGGAAAUUGUAACUUUGCAAACAUCAAAAUCUUUAGCCUUAGCAAUUAAAUUUUCAUUCUCUAAUCUAAGGCUAGCAAGAGAUACAUUCAAUUCAUCAAUCUUAGCAAGCAAGUCAACAUUAUCAUCUCUAAGAUUGGGAAUUGAAAUAUUACAAACAUGUGAAUCAACCUUAGCAUUUAAAAUAGCAUUUUCAUUCCUAAGGUUGUCAAUCAUCUCACGGCAAGUGCUUAGCUCACUAGAUAAUUUUUCACAUUUUUCUAUUUCUAGAGCAUAAGCCUUUUUAACCUUAACAUGUUUCUUGUUUUCUUUAAUUAGACAAUCCUCUUGGGAGUCCAAAAGGUCAUCCUUUUCAUGAAUAGCACUAACUAAUUCAUUUAAUUUUCUUUUUGAGCUAUGUUAAGGUUGGCAAAAAGGGAACGUAAAUUAUCCUCCUCAUCACUAGCAUUAUCAUCACUAGAAGAUUCAUAUUUAGUGGAGGAGUUAGAUUUAACCUUUUUCCGUUUGCCGUCCUUUGCCAUGAGGCACUUGUGGCCGACGUUGGGGAAGAGGAGUCCCUUGGUGACGGCGAUGUUGGCGGCGUCCUCGUCGUCGGAGGAGUCGCUUGAGCUUUCGUCGGAAUCCCAUUCCCGACAAACAUGGGCAUCGCCGCCCUUCUUCUUGUAAUACCUUUUCUUCUCCUUUCUUCUCCCCUUCUUGUCGUCGCCUCGGUCACUGUCACUAGAUAUAGGACAUUUUGCAAUAAAAUGACCGGGCUUACCACACUUGUAGCAAACCUUCUUGGAGCGGGACUUGUAGUCUUUCCCCCUCCUUUGUUUGAGGAUUUGGCGGAAGCUCUUGAUGACGAGCGCCAUCUCCUCAUUGUCAAGCUUGGAGGCGUCGAUUGGUUGUCGACUUGGAGUAGACUCCUCCUUCUUUUCCUCCGUUGCCUUGAAUGCAACGGGUUGGGCUUCGGAUGGGUCGCCAAGCUCGUUGAUUUUCCUCGAGCCUUCUAUCAUGCACUCAAAACUUACAAAAUGCCCGAUAACUUCCUCGGGGGUCAUUUUAGUAUAUCUAGGAUUGCCACGAAUCAAUUGAACUUGAGUGGGAUUGAGAAAAAUUAGAGAUCUUAAAAUAACAUUUACCACUUCGUGGUCGUCCCACUUCUUGCUUCCGAGGUUGCGCACUUGGUUCACCAAAGUCUUGAGCCGGUUGUACAUGUGUUGUGGCUCCUCCCCUUUGUGAAGCCGGAACCGACCGAGCUCCCCCUCGAUCGUUUCCCGCUUGGUGAUCUUGGUGAGCUCAUCUCCCUCGUGCGCAGUUUUGAGCACAUCCCAAAUCUCCUUGGCGCUCUUCAACCCUUGCACUUUGUUAUACUCUUCUCUACUUAAAGAGGCGAGGAGUAUCGUUGUUGCUUGAGAGUUGAAGUGCUCGAUUUGGGCCACCUCAUCCUCAUCAUAGUUCUCAUCCCCUAUAGAUGGUACCUGCGCACCAAACUCAACAACAUCCCAUAUGCUUUUGUGGAGCGAGGUUAGAUGAAAUCGCAUUAAAUCGCUCCACCUAGCGUAAUCUUCACCAUCAAAAGUUGGUGGUUUGCCUAAUGGGACGGAAAGUAAAGGUGUAUGUUUGGAAAUGCGAGGGUAGCGUAGGGGGAUCUUACUAUACUUCUUGCGCUCUUGGCGCUUAGAAGUGACGGAGGGCGCAUCGGAGUCGGAGGUCGAUGUUGAUGAAGUGUCGGUCUCGUAGUAGACCACCUUCCUCAUCCUCUUGUGCUUGUCGCCUUUCCGAUGCGGCUUGUGAGAAGAAGAUUUUUCCUUCUUCUCUUUGUGGUGAGAAGAAGAUUUCUUCUCCUUCCCUUUGUGGGAGGAGCUCUUCUUCUUCUCCCUCCUUUUGGUGCGGGACUCUUCCGAUGAAGUGCUCCCGUGGCUUGUAGUGGGCUUUUCGCCGGUCUCCAUCUCCUUCUUGGCGUGAUCUCCCGACAUCACUUCGAGCGGUUAGGCUCUAAUGAAGCACCGGGCUCUGAUACCAAUUGAUAGUCGCCUAGAGGGGGGGUGAAUAGGGCGAAACUGAAAUUUACAAAUAUAAACACAACUACAAGCCGGGGUUAGCGUUAGUAAUAAGAAACGAGUCCGCAGGAGAGGGCGCAAAACAAAUCCCAAUCGAAUAAGCAAGUGAGACACGGAGAUUUGUUUUACCGAGGUUCGGUUCUUCCAAACCUACUCCCCGUUGAGGAGGCCACAAAGGCCGGGUCUCUUUCAACCCUUCCCUCUCUCAAACGGUCCCUCGGACCGAGUGAGCUUCUCUUCUCAAAUCAAAGCCGGGAACAAAACUUCCCCGCAAGGGCCACCACACAAUUGGUGCCUCUUGCCUUGAUUACAAUGGAGUUGUGUUCUCAAGAACAAGUGAGAAAGAAAAGAAGCAAUCCAAGCGCAAGAGCUCAAAUGAACACGGCAAAUCACUCUCACUAGUCACUAGGGCUUUGUGUGGAAUUGGAGAGGAUUUGAUCUCUUUAGUGUGUCUAGAAUUGAAUGCUAGAGCUCUUGUAGUAGUUGAGAAGUGGAAAACUUGGAUACUAUGAAUGGUGGGGUGGUUGGGGUAUUUAUAGCCCCAACCACCAAACUUGACCGUUGGCUGGAGGCGUCUGCUCGAUGGCGCACCGGACAGUCCGGUGCACACCGGACAGUCCGGUGCCCCUGCCACGUCAUCACUGCCGUUGGAUUCUGACCGUUGGAGCUUCUGACUUGUGGGCCCUCCUGGAUGUCCGGUGCACACCGGACAUGUACUGUUUGAUGUCCGGUGCACCGGUAUGGGCAUGUCUGACGUCUGCGCGCGCUGCGCGCGCAUUAAAUGCACCGCAGGGAGCCGUUGACGCCGAAAAGAGCCGUUGCUCCGCUGGUACACCGGACAGUCCGGUGCACACCGGACAGUCCGGUGAAUUUUAGCGGAGCGGCUGCCACGCGAACCCGAGGCUGGCGAGUUCCGGAGACCGUGCUUCCUUGGAGCACCGGACAUGUCCGGUGCACACCGGACAGUCCGGUGAAUUAUAGCGCGCCGGCUUCCGAGAAAUCCCGAGAGUGAAGAGUUUGAGUCUGAGUCCCCUGGUGCACCGGACAGGUACUGUUUACUGUCCGGUGGCACACCGGACAGUCCGGUGCGCCAGACCAGGGGUGCCCUCGGUUGCCCCUUUGCUCCUUUAUUGAAUCCAAAACUUGGUCUUUUUAUUGGCUGAGGGUGAACCUUUUACACCUGUAUAAUCUACACACUUGGGCAAACUAGUUAGUCCAAUUAUUUGUGUUGGGCAAUUCAACCACCAAAAUUAUUUGAGAACUAGGUGUAAGCCUAAUUCCCUUUCACCCACCUUUCUUUUUCACAAGCACAGGGUUAGCUAACCAUUCGGGAUGGAAUACCUCUUUGAUGAACCCUACGACUAUCAGCUUGUGGAUCUCCUCGCCUAUGGCUCUGCGCUUUUCUUCGUCGAAACGGCGCAGAUGCUGCUUCACGGGUCGGGCACCGGCUCGGAUGUCCAGUGAGUGCUCAGCGACAUCCCUCGGUAUGCCGGGCAUGUCUGAGGGACUCCACGCAAAAACUUCGGCGUUUGCGCGGAGAAAGUCGACGAGCACUGCUUCCUAUUUGGGGUCGAGCUCGGAGCCGAUCCGGACUUGCUUGCAGGCGUCAUUGCUGGGGUCGAGAGGGACGGACUUAACCGCCUCAGCCAGUUCGAAGUUGCCAGCGUGGCGCUUCGCAUCAGGCACCUCCUUGGAGAGGCACUCUAGGUCGGCGAUGAGGGCCUCAGACUCGGCGAGGGCCUCAGCGUACUCCACGCACUCCACGUCGCAUUUGUACGCGUGUCGGUACGUGGAUCCGACGGUGAUGACCCCGUUGGGGCCUAGCGUCUUGAGCUUGAGGUACGUGUAGUUGGGGACGGCCAUGAACAUGGCGUAGCACGGUCUCCCCAGCACCGCAUGGUAGGUCCCUCGGAACCUGACCACCUCAAACGUGAGGGUUUCCCUGCGGAAGUUAGAGGGAGUUCCGAAGCAGACGGGCAAAUCGAGUUGUCCAAGGGGCAGGACGCGCUUUCCGGGGACGAUCCUAUGAAAGGGCGAUGCACCGGCCCGGAUCGUGGAUAGAUCGAUCUCCAAGAGCCCGAGGGUCUCGGCGUAGAUGAUGUUGAGGCUGCUGCCUCCGUCCAUGAGGACCUUGGUGAGCCUGGCGUUACCGAUGACGGGGUCGACAACGAGCGGGUACCUUCCUGGGCUCGGCACGCAGUCGGGGUGGUAGCCUUGGUCGAAGGUGAUGGGCUUGUCGGACCAGUCUAGGUAGACUGGCGCCGCCACCUUUACUGAGCAGACCUCCCGGUGCUCCUGCUUGCGGUGUCGAGCCGAGGCAUUCGCCACUUGCCCACCGUAGAUCAUGAAGCAGUUGUGGACCUAGGUGAACUCCUCUGCCUUGUCGCCCUCCUUCUUGUGGUUGUCUUGGCCUUUGCCAUCUCCCGCUGGGGACCCGACUUUAUGGAAGUAGCGGCGGAGCAUGACGCAUUCCUCAAGGGUGUGCUUGACGGGACCCUGGUGGUAGGGGCAUGACUCCUUGAGCAUCUUGUCGAACAGGUUGGCCCCUCCGGGAGGCUUCCGAGGGUUCCUGUGCUCGGCAGCAGUGACAAGAUCUGCGUCAGCGGCGUUGCGCUUCGCUUGCGACUUCUUCUUGGCCUUCUUCUUCGUGCCACGCUGGGCGGACGCCUCGGGGACAUCUUCCUGCUACCGUCCCUGAGGCUGCUUGUCCUUCCGGAAGAUGGCUUCGACCGCCUCCUGACCAGAGGCGAACUUGGUGGCGAUGUCCAUCAAUUCGCUCGCCUUGGUGGGAGUGUUGCGCCCCAUUUUGCUCACCAGGUCACGGCAAGUGGUGUCGGCGAGGAACGCCCCGAUGACAUCCGAGUCGGUGAUGUUGGGCAGCUCGGUGCGCUGCUUCGAAAACCGUCGGAUGUACUCUCGCAGGGAUUCCCCUGGCUGCUGGCGGCAGCUUCGGAGAUCCCAUGAGUUCCCAGGGCGCACGUACGUGCCCUGGAAAUUUCCAGCGAAGGCCUUGACCAGGUCGUCCCAGUUGGAGAUCUGCGCGGGAGGCAGAUGCUCCAGCCAGGCCCGGGCGGCGUCGGAGAGGAAGAGAGGGAGGUUGCGGAUGAUGAGGUUGUCGUCAUCCGUCCCUCCCAGCUGGCAUGCCAACCGGUAGUCCGCAAGCCACAACUCCGGCCUCGUCUCCCCCGAGUACUUGGUGAUGGUAGUCGGGGCCCAGAACCGAGCCGGGAACGGCGCCCGUCGUAUGGCCCGGCUGAAGGCUCACGGACCUGGUGGUUCGGGCGAGAGACUCCGAUCCUCCUCAUUGUCGUAGCGUCCUCCGCGCCUGGGGUGGUAGCCUCGGCGCACCUUCUCGUCGAGGCAGGCUCGACGGUCGCAGCGGUGGUGCUCGUUGCCGAGGUGAUCCGGGGCUGCAGGCAUCUCGUCCUGUGUGCGCCCGGUGUGGACCGAGGCCUCCCGCAUGAGUCAGGAAGUCGUUGCGCGAUGCCCCGGGGGGCACCCUUGCCUUCGGGAGGCAGAGCUUUCGGCCCGUCGGACCGCGGCAUCCUCCAGGAGAUUCUUGAGUUCUCCCUGGAUACGCCGCCCCUCGGUGGUGGAUGGCUCCGGCAUUGCUCGAAGUAGCACUGCUGCUGCAACUAGAUUCUGGCCGACCCCACUGGAGGCCAGGGGCAGCCUUGCCCUGGCAUCAUCAACGAUACGGCGUUGGACGUCCCGGGCCCGAUGACACGCUUCUCCGGCGAGUGCUCGGUCUGCCCACUCCUGCUCGAUGUUCUGCUGGAGCUGCACAAGUUGCCCUGCUUCCUCAUCGAGUUUGGCCUGCAUCUCGCGGAUUUGCUCAAGCUGUGUGUCCUGACCCCCCACAGGGACUGGGACCACAGCUAGCUCCCGCGGGAUGUCAACGCGAGAAGCAGGCCUAGGGGGAUCGUCACCCUCCGGCAUACCGAGGUGGUUACCUUCGUCGUGACCCCCUAGAUCGACGUGGAAACAAUCGCGACUUGGGCCACAACCCUCGUUGCCAAGGCUAUGGCCAUCAUCAGAGCAACCGGAGAGGAAGUAGUCACAUGCGGUCAUAAAGUCCCGCAUGGCACUGGGAUCACGGAGCCCAGAGAAAUCCCAACCGGAGUCGGGGUCAUCUUCUUCCUCGGAACCCGGGGGCCCGUAGGUUGAGACGGUCGUCAAUCGGUCCCAGGAUGACCACAUAUGGUACCCCGGAAGGUUAGGAUAUGCCUUUACGAAAGCGCUCACUGAAGCGGGGUCGCUUGGCGGAUCGAAGCUGAAUCUAAAAGGCACAGGGUGGAAAACGGACGGUACCUCUUGGUCGAUGGACGGUGGGGAAGUCGCGUCGGGGACGGACUGCACCGUUAUCUCAGGUACGAGGCUAACGCCCAGCAAGUCCUUCGCGAGGGUGCUGGCAUCAUCAGUCCACUUGGGGUUGGCACGUUACGGGGAAACGACAUCCGUCGUUGUCUCAGGUGCGAGGACAACGCCCGACAUGUCCCCCGCUGGGGUGCCGGUGUCGUCGACUCGCUCUGGACCGACAGCCGACGAGGUGCCGCCUCCUUGAGAGCACCUAGAGGGGGGGUGAAUAGGUGAUCCUGUAAAACUUCAAAACUUAAGCCACAAAAACUUGUUAAGGGUUAGCACAAGUAUGGCCAAGUGGCUAGAGAGGAGUCAAAACACAAUAACCACAAGAAAUCAAUCACAGAGAUGACACAGUGGUUAUCCCGUGGUUCGGCCAAGUACAAAAACUUGCCUACUCCACGUUGUGGCGUCCCAACGGACGAGAGUUGCACUCAACUCCUCUCAAGUGAUCCAAUGAUCAACUUGAAUACCACGGUGUUCUUGCUUUUCUUUUCUCAAUCCCGUUUGCGAGGAAUCUCCACAACUUGGAGCCUCUCGCCCUUACAAAAGAUGUUCACAGAGAAUCACGGAGCAAGGGAGGGAAUGAGCAACGCACACAAGACUUCAAAAGAUCAGAGCAACACGCACACAAGCAGCAAUAAGAGCUCGCAACACAACUCAAAGAGUACACAACUCCACAAGAGCUCUAUAUGCUAUCACAAUGAAUCGAAUGCGCUAGAUCAAUGUCUUGGUGCUUAGAAAGGUUGUAGGAAUGCUUGGUGUGCUCCUCCAUGCGCCAAGGGGUCCCUUUUAUAGCCCCAAGGCAGCUAGGAGCCGUUGGGAACAAAUCUGGAAGGCCAUCUUUGCCUUCUGUCUCGUGGCGCACCGGACAGUCCGGUGCACACCGGACACUGUCCGGUGCCUGAUUUGUUUCCUUAAACAGCGCAUCCGACCGUUGCUGUCUGAGUCAGAUCUGCGCACAGUUGGCGCACCGGACAUGUCCGGUGCACACCGGACAGUCCGGUGCUUCCUUCCGACCGUUGGCUCGGCCACGUGUCGCGCCCCGAUCGCGCGGCCGACCAUUGGCCCGGCCGACCGUUGGCUCACCGGACAGUCCGGUGCACACCAGACAGUCCGGUGAAUUUUAGCCAAAGUCGCCGGAGAAAAACCCGAGAGCGGCUGGUUUGCUCUGUGGUGGUCUGGCGCACCGGACACUGUCCGGUGCACACCGGACAGUCCGGUGCCCCAGUCCGAAGCAGCCUUUGGCUAUACACAACCACUCUCCACUUCUUUUCUUUUCUUCUUUCUCCUGUUUCUAACACUUAGACAAGAUGUUAGUACACAAAACUAAUGUACUAAGGCUUAGAAACAUACCUUUACUUGUGAUUUGCACUUUGUUCAUCCAUGAGCAUAUUUUCACAUUUAAGCCCUUGUGUUUGCACUCAAUCACCAAAAUACUUAGAAAUGGCCCAAGGGCACAUUUCCCUUUCAAUCUCCCCCUUUUUGGUGAUUUAUGCCAACACAACAUAAAGCAACUAGAACAAGUGCAAAAUCACUUCAAAUAAAAACUGACUUUGAGUUUUAUUCAAUUUUGACAUAUAUGGAUCAUCCUUUGCCACCACUUGGUUUGUUUUUGCAAAUCAAACUCAAAUCUCUAUCUCUAAGUCAAACACACAUGUUGAAGCAUAAAGAGAGUCAUUCCAAAAGAGAUUGAUCAAAGAUUUCAAAAACUCCCCCUAUUUCCCAUAAUCACCACUUCUCCCCACAAGAAGUCAACUUUUGACAAUAGAGACAAUAAGAGACAAUAAAAGCUUUUGACAAAACAAAAACUCUAUUCUACUAUUUUCAAAAUCUCUCAAGUGGUAGCUGAUCCAUUUAUCACUUUGGCCUUUAUUUUCUCCCCCUUUGGCAUCAAGCACCAAAACGGGAUCAAUCUUGGCCCCGUAACCCCAUUGCCUCACCAAAGUUCUCAAUUAAGAGCAAAUGGCAAUAAGAUUUCAUGAGAUGAACUUGGAAUUAGUUACCCUCUCAUCGGAGUGCAGUGGAAGUCUUUCAUGGUCCAAGUCCACCUUUUCCCUUUCAAUCCUCCUUCGAGACUAAAUUAUCAAACUCAAGCACGUGGUUAGUCUCAAAGGGUCAAGUUGUAACACAUCUCCCCCUAAACAUGUGCAUCACUUUGCAACGGACUUGUGAGGUCCAGGGAGUGUUUGUACAACUUGAGCACCAUAAUAAGCAACAAAAUGCAAAAAGGAACAUGAUCAAAAGCAUAAGUACAUGUAUGCUACAAUUCAAUCCAGGUUCCGCGAAUCUAUAACAUUUAGCUCACUACGCAACCUGCAAAAGGUCUUCUCAUCUAGAGGCUUAGUGAAGAUAUCGGCUAGCUGGUUCUCGGUGCUAACAUGAAACACUUCGAUAUCUCCCUUUUGCUGGUGGUCUCUCAAAAAGUGAUGCCGGAUGUCUAUGUGCUUUGUGCGGCUGUGCUCAACAGGAUUCUCCACCAUGCGGAUAGCACUCUCAUUGUCACAUAGGAGUGGGACUUUGCUCAGAUUGUAGCCAAAGUCCCGGAGGGUUUGCCUCAUCCAAAGUAGUUGCGCGCAACACUGACCUGCGGCAACGUACUCGGCCUCAGCGGUGGAUAGGGCAACAGAUGUUUGUUUCUUAGAGUUCCAUGACACCAGGGACCUUCCUAAGAAUUGGCACGUCCCUGAUGUACUCUUCCUAUCGACCUUACAUCCAGCAUAGUCGGAGUCUGAGUAUCCAACUAAGUCAAAGGUAGACCCCUUUGGAUACCAGAGCCCGAAGCAAGGCGUAGCAACCAAAUAUCUAAGAAUUCGCUUCACCGCCACUAAGUGACACUCCUUAGGAUCGGAUUGAAAUCUAGCACACAUGCAUACGCUAAGCAUAAUAUCCGGUCUACUAGCACAUAAAUAAAGCAAAGAACCUAUCAUUGACUGGUAUGCUUUUUGAUCAACGGACUUACCUCCUUUGUUGAGGUCGGUGUGUCCGUCGGUCCCCAUCGGAGUCUUUGCGGGCUUGGCGUCCUUCAUCCCAAACCGCUUUAGCAGAUCUUGCGUGUACUUCGUUUGGGAGAUGAAGGUGCCGUCCUUGAGUUGCUUCACUUGGAACCCAAGGAAGUAGCUCAACUCGCCCAUCAUCGACAUCUCGAAUUUCUGCGUCAUCACCCUGCUAAACUCUUCACAAGACUUUUGUUUAGUAGAACCAAAUAUUAUGUCAUCGACAUAGAUUUGGCACACAAACAAAUCACCAUCACAUGUCUUUGUAAAAAGAGUUGGAUCGGCCUUCCCAACCUUGAAAGCAUUAGCAAGUAAAAAGUCUCUAAGGCAUUCAUACCAUGCUCUUGGGGCUUGCUUAAGUCCAUAGAGCGCCUUAGAGAGCUUACACACAUGGUCGGGGAACCGUUCAUCCUCGAAGCCAGGGGGUUGCUCCACGUACACUUCCUCCUUGAUUGGCCCGUUGAGGAAAGCGCUCUUCACAUCCAUUUGGUACAACCUGAAAGAAUGGUGAGCGGCAUAUGCUAGCAAGAUACGAAUGGACUCUAGCCUAGCCACAGGAGCGAAAGUCUCCUCAAAGUCCAAACCUGCGACUUGGGCAUAACCUUUUGCCACAAGUCGAGCCUUGUUCCUCGUCACCACCCCGUGCUCGUCCUGUUUGUUGCGGAACACCCACUUGGUUCCCACAACAUUUUGCUUCGGACGAGGCACCAGUGUCCAAACUUCAUUGCGCUUGAAGUUGUUGAGCUCCUCCUGCAUGGCCAACACCCAGUCCGGAUCUAGCAAGGCCUCCUCUACCCUGAAAGGCUCAAUAGAGGAGACAAAAGAGUAAUGCUCACAAAAAUUGACUAAACGAGAUCGAGUAGUUACUCCCUUGCUGAUGUCACCCAGAAUUUGGUCGACGGGAUGAUCCCUUUGAGUCAUCGCUCGAACUUGGGUUGGAGGUGCCGGUUGCGCUUCUUCCUCCAUCACUUGAUCAUCUUGUGCUCCCCCUUGAUCAAGCGCCUCCACUUGAGGUACCUGUUCGUCAUCUUCGGUUGGGGGAUGCACCAUAGUUGAGGAAGAAGGUUGAUCUCGUUCAUCUUGUUCCUGUGGCCGUACUUCUCCAAUCGCCAUGGUUCGUAUAGCGUCCGUCGGAACAUCUUCUUCAUCUACAUCAUCACAAUCAACAACUUGCUCUCUUGGAGAGCCAUUAGUCUCAUCAAAUACAACGUCGCUAGAGACUUCAACCAAACCCGAUGAUUUGUUGAAGACUCUAUACGCCUUUGUAUUUGAGUCAUAACCUAAUAAAAACCCUUCUACAGCUUUGGGAGCAAACUUAGAAUUUCUACCCUUCUUCACUAGAAUGUAGCAUUUACUCCCAAAUACACGAAAGUACGAUACAUUGGGUUUGUUACCGGUUAGUAGCUCAUACGACGUCUUCUUGAGGAGGCGAUGAAGGUAGACCCUGUUGAUGGCGUGGCAAGCAGUGUUAACGGCUUCCGUCCAAAAGCACUCGGGGGUCUUGAACUCUCCUAGCAUCGUCCUCGCCAUAUCGAUGAGUGUCCUGUUCUUCCUCUCUACCACACCAUUUUGCUGUGGUGUGUAGGGAGCGGAGAACUCGUGCUUGAUCCCUUCCUCUUCAAGGAACUCCUCCACUUGAAGGUUCUUGAACUCGGAUCCGUUGUCGCUCCUUAUCUUCUUCACUUUGAGCUCAAACUCAUUUUGAGCUCUCUUGAGGAAGCCUUUGAGAGUCCCUUGGGUUUCAGACUUAUCCUGCAAAAAGAACACCCAAGUGAAGCGGGAAAAGUCAUCAACAAUAACUAGACCAUACUUACUUCCCCCUAUGCUUAGAUAGGCGACGGGUCCGAAGAGAUCCAUAUGCAGCAGCUCCAGAGGUCUUGAAGUGGUCAUCACAUUCUUGCUGUGAUGCGCUCCUCCCACCUGUUUCCCUGCUUGACAAGCUGCACAAGGUCUAUCUUUUUCGAAAUGAACAUUGGUUAGACCUAUCACAUGUUCUCCCUUUAGAAGCUUGUGGAGGUUCUUCAUCCCCACAUGUGCUAAGCGGCGAUGCCACAGCCAGCCCAUGCAAGUCUUAGCCAUUAAGCAUGCAUCUAGACCGGCCUCUUCUUUUGCAAAAUCAACUAAAUAAAGUUUGCCGUCUAAUACACCCUUAAAAGCUAGUGAACCAUCACUUCUUCUAAAGACAGACACAUCUACAUUUGUAAACAGACAGUUAUAUCCCAUAUUGCACAAUUGACUAACAGAUAGUAAAUUAUAUCCUAGUGACUCUACUAAAAACACAUUAGAGAUAGAGUGCUCAUUAGAAAUUGCAAUUUUACCUAACCCUUUUACCUUGCCUUGAUUCCCAUCACCGAAUAUGAUUGAAUCUUGGGAAUCCUUAUUCUUGACGUAGGAGGUGAACAUUUUCUUCUCCCCCGUCAUAUGGUUUGUGCAUCCGCUAUCAAUAAUCCAGCUUGAACCCCCGGAUGCAUAAACCUGCAAGGCAAAUUUAGGCUUGGGUCUUAGGUACCCAACUCAUGUUGGGUCCUACAAGGUUAGCACAUAUAUCCUUAGGGACCCAAAUGCAAGUUUUGUCUCCCUUGCAUUUUGCCCCUAGCUUCCUAGCAACAAUUUUCUUAUCCUUUCUACAAAUUUCAAAGGAAGCAUUCAAAGCACAAUAAAUUGUAGAAGGUUCAUUCACUACUUUCCUAACAACAUUUCUCCUAGGCAUUUGAUGAACAACAUUUCUUCUAAGCCCAUUUCUACCAUGCAUAACAUGAGAACUAGAAGCAGUCAUAGCAUAAGAGUCAUAAGCAUGUGAAUCAAAAACAUCAUGACCUCUAAAAGCAUUUCUAGAAUAUCUCCUAUCAUAGUACAUGAAAGCAUGAUUCUUCUUAACACUAUUAGCCAUAGGAGCCUUCCCUUUCUCCUUGGUGGAGAUGGGAGUCUUAUGGCUUGUUAAGUUCUUGGCUUCCCUCUUGAAGCCAAGCCCAUCCUUAAUUGAGGGAUGUCUUCCUAUUGUGUAAGCAUCCCUUGCAAAUUUUAACUUAUCAAAUUCACUUUUGCUAGUCUUAAGUUGGUCAUUAAGACUAGCCACUUCAUUAUUUAACUUUGCAAUAGAAGCUAUGUGUUCACUACAAGCAUCAAUAUCAAAGUCUUUACAUCUAUUGCAAAUAACAACAUUUUCUACACAAGUUGUUGAUUUACUAGCUAUUUCUAUCUUAGCAUUCAACUCAUCGUUAAUGCACUUUAAUUUUGAAAUUGUCUCAUGGCAUGAAGAUAAUUCACAAGUAAGCAUUUCAUUUCUUUUAACUUCUAGAGCAUGAGAUUUUUGAGCUUCUAAAAAUUUAUCAUGCUCUUCAUACAAUAAAUCCUCUUGUUUCUCUAAGAGUUUAUCCUUCUCAUUCAAUGCAUCAAUUAAUUCAUUAAUUUUGCCAAUCGUAAUUCUAUCUAGACCUUUAAAUAAACUAGAAUAGUGUAUUUCAUCAUCGUCACUAGAAUCAUCACCACUAGAAGAAGCAUAAGUAGAGUUUCGAGUACUUACUUUCUUCUCCUUAGCCAUGAGACACGUGUGACGCUCGUUGGGGAAGAGGGCCGAUUUGUUGAAGGCGGUGGCGGCGAGUCCCUCAUUGUCGGAGUCGGAGGAGGAGCAAUCCGAAUCCCACUCCUUGCCUAUAUGCGCCUCGCCCUUGGCUUUCUUGUAGUGCUUCUUUUUCUCCCUCUUGUUCCCCUUUUCCUGGUCACUUUCAUUAUCAGGACAGUUAGCAAUAAAAUGACCAAGCUUACCGCAUUUGAAGCAUGAUCGCUUCCCCUUGGUCUUAGUCUUGCUCGACUGUCCAUUGCGACCCUUUAGCACCGUCUUGAAUCUCUUGAUAAUGAGGGCCAUUUCCUCAUCAUUAAGACCGGCCGCCUCAAUUUGCGCCACCUUGCUGGGUAGCGCCUCCUUGUUCCUUGUGGCUUUGAGAGCAAAAGGUUGCGGCUCGUUGAUCGGUCCAUUCAAGGCGUCGUCCACAUACCUUGCCUCCUUGAUCAUCAUUCGCCCGCUGACGAAUUUUCCUAGGACUUCUUCGGGCGACAUUUUGGUGUACCUGGGAUUCUCACGAAUAUUAUUCACCAAAUGAGGAUCAAGAACGGUAAAGGACCUGAGCAUUAGUCGGACGACGUCGUGGUCCGUCCAUCGCGUGCUUCCGUAGCUCCUUAUUUUGUUGAUAAGGGUCUUGAGCCGGUUGUAUGUCUGAGUUGGCUCCUCGCCCCUUAUCAUCGCGAACCGUCCAAGCUCGCCUUCCACCAACUCUGUUUUGGUGAGCAAGGUAACGUCAUUCCCUUCAUGAGAGAUCUUGAGGGUGUCCCAGAUCUGCUUGGCGUUAUCCAAGCCGCUCACUUUGUUAUAUUCAUCCCUGCACAAUGAAGCUAGAAGAACAGUGGUAGCUUGUGCAUUCUUAUGGAUUUGCUCAUUAAUGAAUGAAGGGCUAUCCGAGCUAUCAAAUUUCAUUCCACUUUCCACAAUCUCCCAAAUGCUUGGAUGGAGAGAAAAUAGGUGAGUACGCAUUUUGUGACUCCAAAAUCCGUAGUCCUCUCCAUCAAAGUGAGGAGGCUUGCCAAGUGGAAUGGGGAGCAAAUGAGCAUUUGAGCUAUAUGGAAUGCGCGAAUAAUCAAAAGAAAAGUUUGAGUUAACCGUCUUUUGUUUGUCGUGGUCGUCGUCCUUUUGGGAAGAAGAGGACUCAUCGCUGUCGUAGUAGACGAUCUCCUUGAUGCGUCUUGUUUUCUUCUUUUUCCCAUCUUUUCGCUUGUGGCCCGAGCCCGAGUCAUUGGACUUGUCAUCCCUUGGCUCGUUGACAAAGGACUCCUUCUCCUUGUCAUUGAUCACAAUUCCCUUCCCCUUAGGAUCCAUCUCUUCGGGCGGUUAGUCCCUUUCUUGAAGAGAACGGCUCUGAUACCAAUUGAGAGCACCUAGAGGGGGGGGGGGGGGUGAAUAGGUGAUCCUGUAAAACUUCAAAACUUAAGCCACAAAAACUUGUUAAGGGUUAGCACAAGUAUGGCCAAGUGGCUAGAGAGGAGUCAAAACACAAUAACCACAAGAAAUCAAUCACAGAGAUGACACAGUGGUUAUCCCGUGGUUCGGCCAAGUACAAAAACUUGCCUACUCCACGUUGUGGCGUCCCAACGGACGAGAGUUGCACUCAACUCCUCUCAAGUGAUCCAAUGAUCAACUUGAAUACCACGGUGUUCUUGCUUUUCUUUUCUCAAUCCCGUUUGCGAGGAAUCUCCACAACUUGGAGCCUCUCGCCCUUACAAAAGAUGUUCACAGAGAAUCACGGAGCAAGGGAGGGAAUGAGCAACGCACACAAGACUUCAAAAGAUCAGAGCAACACGCACACAAGCAGCAAUAAGAGCUCGCAACACAACUCAAAGAGUACACAACUCCACAAGAGCUCUAUAUGCUAUCACAAUGAAUCGAAUGCGCUAGAUCAAUGUCUUGGUGCUUAGAAAGGUUGUAGGAAUGCUUGGUGUGCUCCUCCAUGCGCCAAGGGGUCCCUUUUAUAGCCCCAAGGCAGCUAGGAGCCGUUGGGAACAAAUCUGGAAGGCCAUCUUUGCCUUCUGUCUCGUGGCGCACCGGACAGUCCGGUGCACACCGGACACUGUCCGGUGCCUGAUUUGUUUCCUUAAACAGCGCAUCCGACCGUUGCUGUCUGAGUCAGAUCUGCGCACAGUUGGCGCACCGGACAUGUCCGGUGCACACCGGACAGUCCGGUGCUUCCUUCCGACCGUUGGCUCGGCCACGUGUCGCGCCCCGAUCGCGCGGCCGACCGUUGGCCCGGCCGACCGUUGGCUCACCGGACAGUCCGGUGCACACCGGACAGUCCGGUGAAUUUUAGCCGAAGUCGCCGGAGAAAAACCCGAGAGCGGCUGGUUUGCUCUGUGGUGGUCUGGCGCACCGGACACUGUCCGGUGCACACCGGACAGUCCGGUGCCCCAGUCCGAAGCAGCCUUUGGCUAUACACAGCCACUCUCCACUUCUUUUCUUUUCUUCUUUCUCCUGUUUCUAACACUUAGACAAGAUGUUAGUACACAAAACUAAUGUACUAAGGCUUAGAAACAUACCUUUACUUGUGAUUUGCACUUUGUUCAUCCAUGAGCAUAUUUUCACAUUUAAGCCCUUGUGUUUGCACUCAAUCACCAAAAUACUUAGAAAUGGCCCAAGGGCACAUUUCCCUUUCACUCCUGCGUGGCCACAGUUGCCCCGUCUCCUCCUCCUGCGGCGAGGAGGGUGGCGGGGUAAACCCGGAUGCCGCUCUUCCGCCACGGGGGAAGACGUCGUCGAGUUCGCCGCCGCCAGGCGAGCUGACAGCCGUCAUUGUUGCUGUCGCGCUGCGGGGGGAGGAGUACCAUGUCGUAGCUGCCGUCGAGGGACAUGAACUCGAGACUCCCGAAGCGGAGCACCGUCCUGGGCUGAAGAGGUUGCUGAAGACUACCCAUCUGGAACUCAACAGGAAAGUGUUCGUUAACACGCAGCAGGCCCCUACCUGCGCGCCAACUGUCGGUGUUUCGGACCCGGGGGGUCCGUAAGCCAACCAGUAAAUUUGUCGCUGCGUGCCCCUGCCCAGAUGGGUUGGCGCAAGAUGGAACACAAGGGGAAACGUGGCUUGUAUUAUCUCGCACCGGGGGUGUGCUCGUAGUAGGGGUUACAAGCGUCGCAGGAGAGAGAGAGAGAGAGAGCCUGUUUGUUUACUCGUUCUCCUCGCGCGACCCCCCCCCCCGCAGGAAGGCCCUGGACCUCCCUUUUAUAGAUGCAAGGAGAGGGUCCAGAUGUACAAUGGGGGUGUAGCUAGGCGCUAACGUGUCUGGCAGAGAAGUGCCUGAGCCCUGUGUACAUGCCAACGUGGCUGUCGGAGAGAUGCUUGAGCCCUGUGUACGCGAUAACGUGGCUGUCGGAGAAGUGCCCGAGCCCUGUGGAGGCACAGCUGGCGGUGCGGCUGGGAUUCUGCUGACGUCUCCUUGCUUCCGUAGGGGGCUGAGAACCACCGACGUCAUGGACGCACGCGGGGAACCAUCAUUACCUAUUACCAGGGCGAGCCAGAUGGGACACCGGUCUUGUUCCCUCGUAGCCUGAGCUAGUUAGGGGUAGAGUAAUGAUGUAUCCCCUGUGGCGCGGUUGGUCUAAGCCCAAGGUCAGGCGAGGCGGAGACUUCUCCUGAGGUCGAGGCCAGGGUCGGGCGAGGACGCGAUUCCUCCCGAGGCCGAGGCUGAGGCCGAGCCCUGGGGUCGGGCGAGGCGGAGACCUCCUCCCGAGGCCGAGGCCUAAGGUCGGGCGAGUUGGAGCUUCCUGUUGCGCCCGAGGCUGAACUCGGCUUGUUGUCAGUCUUACUCCGGUGGGUGGCACAGCAGUCGGAGCGGGGCGAGCGGCGCUGUUUUCCUGUCAGAUCGGUUAGUGGAGGGGUGAAGUGACUGCAGUCACUUCGACCUUGCCGACUGAGGCGCACAUGUCAGGAUAAGGUGCCAGGCUGUCUUCGCAUUGAAUGCGCCUGCGACACGGUCGGUUGGUAAGGCGAUUUGGCCAAGGUUGCUUCUCGACGAAGCCUGUCCGAGCUGGGAUUCGGACGAGCCGAGGGUGCGCCCACCGCCUGAGGAGGCCCUCGGGCAAGGCGUGAAUUAGUCCGGGACUACUGUUCCCGCCCGAGGCCGGGGUCGGGCGAGGCGAGAUUGCGUCCCUUGGUAGACGAGGUCUUGACCUGAACCGUGCCCAUCAGUCUUUGCAGUUUGUGCUGAGGGUGUUUACCAGUCGUGUUUAGGAGUGUUGGGGGUACCCCUAAUUAUGGUACCCGAUAGGAAGUGUGGCUAUUUCAUUUGCUAGCAUGAACAGAACAGAUGGCAUGAGUGGCCUCGCAUAUGGACUGUCUUGCACGCAUAAAAGACCCAAGUGAAUACAUCGUACCGCUGGACAACUCUCCAACAUCGCCUAGAUGACGUAACCAUUUGUCAAUUUAGCCAGAUAACUGCUAUAAUAUUUCUUCUACUGAAAUUAUCAAGCUAAAACUUCUAAUUACCUUGUAAACUUUUCCGAAUCCACCUUUUCCAAGCAUGUUAAAAUCAGAGAAGUUGUUUGUCGAACUAGCGUGUUGAGCUGAACAGCUUAGCGAACGUAUUAGGACCACCUCGGAAGCGCAGACCAAGGUUAGCCAGCUUAUAAUGCUGAGCCUCGUAGAGUUCAGCACGACCUUACUUGAACAGGAUCAGUUCUAUAGGAUCGUACCGUUGCAUCCUUGACUAAUAAGGAGGCAAGCACUUAAGCCUGAUUGAUGAGGCAAUGACCUGUGGGCCAGAGCGUGAUUAACGGCUGGGAUUGGCUCUGUUCGCUGGGUCUUGUGUUAUAGAGGAUGGUUCCUGGCCAGGCCAUGCUUGUCUUGUCUCGAAGUCUGGGUGGCCCAUAGGUUGUCUGACAGGCUCCCUUUUUUCCUGCUUUGGUUUUCAUUUUGCUUUUUACCAGAUUGCAAUCAAAGAAAUUUGAUCAAACUGUUCCUAUCGCAACAGUUGUUUUCUCGCUCAACAUUACUCUCAAUCAAAGAAGGAGCGGAUCUGUUGCUCAAAAUUCUCUCAUAGCAAGAGUGCAAGUCUUGUGCUGCAGUUUGCUUGCUUUAGGUUCCUUCAUCUUUGACUGUACAUGCGAUGCGCAACACAUGUGAUAACUCUUGCUACUUGAUUUGCAGAAGUUCACAGUUAUUUUGAUCUGUCUUUUUUUGUCCCAAGCAAAGCCGAGUUACAUUUAAAAGAAGUAUAUUAGUAAGUAUAUAACAAAAAAGAGAAAAAUCGAGUUCCUAAACAUUGUGAGCGAUGCAGUACGCAAAUCUCAAUAUUUGCCAACUACCAUGCAGUAAGGCUAAGGUACACUGUUUACUUGCUCUUCAGGUCAAGCUCCUCUGAGGCAGCAGAAACAGCUGACCAUCAUGCUGAAUUCGUAGCGGGUUUUUCUCGAACUAGUGGAACUUUGGAAAGGCCUCGUAGUGCUACCCUGCCUCAUUUCCUUGGUAGAUGUGUAUGAGGUCCGUACAACCCCAUGGCAAAUGGGUAAUAUGACUUGUGGGUAAAGAUGUGUAACCUUUAGUGUAAAACUGGUAUAUCAGUCGUGCUCACAGUCAUAAGCGGCUCGGACACUCACAUGAUUAACUUAUGGAAUUAAACUCAAUUUGUCAUUUGCAUUACAUUGUGGGUGUUGUUAUUAAUCCUGAUCUCUUAUAAUUGGGUUGGUAUCUACUUAUAUCUAGUAAUUGCUAAUAAAAUUUUGACCAACUUUAAAAGCAAUGCUCAGCUUUUACCAUCAUCUUUGGUAAUCCUUACACUCAUGAGCUCACACUUUUGGCGAGUUCAUGCACAUUAUUCCCCACAACUUGUUGAGCGAUGAACUUAUGUGAGCUCACUCUUGCUAUACUCACAUCCCCCAAGGUCAAGGACAGGUACCACUGGAUGAAGCGCAUGGAGGAUGCUGUGAUAAGAUCAUGAGAGGUCUAGGCUGUCGUCUCCCAGUCAACUUUAUUUGCUGGAUCGUUGUCUUCAUAUGAUGUAAUUAUUUAACUAUUUUGUACAAACUCUGUUAUAUAUUAAUGUCGUGACAUUAUUUUCUGUACCAUGAGUCAUAAUAUGUGUAAGACUUGGUCCCAGCACACUUGGUGAUUAUCACACGCCCGAGUUUUGGUGCCCCUGAAAUCCGGGUGUGACAACAACCAUUCUUGAGGCCAACCGAAUGUGGACACGUGGCCAUGAUGGGCCCGUUCUCCUUCCUUGGUCACAUGAACGAACGAAGCAGAGGCAGUUUUCUUUUCUUCAACUUGCAGUAUGGGGCGACACAACACAAGGAAGGAGGCGGCACCGGCUGAGCGAACUCGUCGGUGGCCAUGUCUGGUGGCGUGCUGGAGCAGCGCGGGCAGGCCGCGGCAAGCGGCUGCAACAAUAGACGGCGGCGCAACAACGGCGAGACGGGGGCACGGGGCUGGGAAGUGCCGUCGGCCAUCAGGCGGGUGCAACGGCCCUCGCCGGAGGGAUGCGCACGACCAUGCCAGUGGGGCACGGCGGCCGCUGCGCACGUAGGCAGGGGAGGGCACACCGCUACGCGCCAUGGCCGGCUACAGGCGAAGGAAUCACAGAAACAAAGAACGGGAAAGUAGAAUGGAUGAAAAAUGCUCUAUGGAGGACUGGUCGGAGAAGGACUCACCGGCGUCGUGGAGCAACGCGGCGGCACGACGGUGGCAGGGUCAAUGACGUAGAUGAAGAACCAGUGGCGAUCGUGGAGGCUCUGUUGUCGCAGAAGUAUUUUUGAGGGCGGUGGCUUUGGAGUAGCUAGAUUAAGAUUAGAUUUAUCUAUAUCUAGAAUUUUAUAAUUUCAUAUUAAUUCUAUAAAAUUUAGAUUUAGGGUACGGUUCAAAAAAUGCCCUAGGAGCCUUAAAGAAAUUUGGGCAAAUUCCUGCAAGUAUUUUAGAACCACGUGGAAUUUCUUUUUUUUUGUAAAAAAGGAAAAUCCUGGAAAAGAAUACAACAAAACUUACCGCGGACUUCUACAGGAUAUAAUAACAUGUCUCAAACAUACCUUACACUUAGAAACACUAUACAACAACCAAAGUUUCUCUAGGGUUUUAUUUUACUAGGCUUACACAUUGAUAUAAAACAAAAUAAUUCUUCACUAUUUAGGAAAAAGAAAAGCAAGGAAAAGAGAGGGUAACACCUUAAUUUGGUGAAUAUUAGAAAAAAAUUUAUACCCCAAAUUCAGGGUGUUAAAUAUCUGGUCAUUAGCUUUAAUACUGAUAUGACCACCGGAAAUAAUUGAUUUGAUCCAUGCAAUCCAAACACUAAAAAGCCCUUCAACCUAAAAGUGUGUUCCACAAAAGUUCACUUAACCUUAUAGUACGUCUUUUCAAAAAUACAUUUUAAAAAUCACUCCACUAUAUUUCUUCCUAUGUAACUCAUGGAUGGUCUCGUGUAAAACAACGACCCUAGUGACUCUCGAUCAAGAUUCAAGCCACCAAGAAAUAGCCUCCAUUAGCUUCCUUUCUUCCCUUUAUAGCUUAGCAUGGGAGGUCCAAAGCCAUGACGUGAUAGAUAAUUGUCGCCGUGAGCACGAACUGAACCUAAACAACCUGACCAACCCUAGUGGUAAGAUCAACCUUCCAGCCAGGAAGGAGGUCUGCCAACCGGUUAAUUAGGGGAAGUAGUUGGUCCUUCGUGAGCUUCUUGGGCAGAUCCAAAUAAUUGACAGGAAACUCAACUGGACGGCAGGGUAGGAUAGAUGGUCUAAACAAGAGGCAAGUCUUCUUGAGAGCAUUGAAUAGGAGAGACGCUGCUCUUCUGGAUAUUUUUUUUAACAAAAAGGGGUUUCCACCAUUAAGAAAUAGGAAACGAGUUUCAUACAUGACCAACAUAUAUCCACCAAAAAACUACGACUUAGAAGACUGUCAACCGAAGAAAGCAAGCGGAAUUAAUCCUAAACAGAAAAACCAUUCUAAAAAGGAAAAUACACCCAACCACUCAUGGUCAAUUCUAGCUAAGUCAGACUUUAUUACAUGGGGAAGAUCACACCCCAGCGGGUUACAGCUAACCUCGCUACAAACUGUUUAAACCAGGGAGAAUUUAAACCAGAACAACACCAGAUAGUGCCACAAAGACGUCACCAUUCUCCAUCCAAGUUUUUUGUUGAAAAAAUCUUUAACCGGUCACAGGUGUCCUUCCUUCCAUCUUUGUAUGGAUCAGAGCCCAAUCAUUCAUACAAAAGUAGCACAUGAAGAAAAUAGCAUCAGUGUAAACUGUAUUUUUACCAUUAAAACAAACACCAUUUCUAACCCUCUAGAGGGUCCAAAGGAUCGCACUGCAGCCCACCACGAUAAGAUUUCUGCUUUUAUUUUUAAAUUUAUAGAUCCAUUCUCCAAACAUAUUUUCAGCAGUUUUUGACAUUAUGUGCAUGUUCUUCACCAUACUAAUCACCCUCCAAGUGAAAGAUGUGAUCCGGCAAUCGAAAAAAAUGUGUUUCGUAGUUUCCAUACAACCACACCAAAAAUAGUUAAAGUUUUCUUUCCAGUUUCGGUUUUUUAGGUUUUGUUUUGAUAAGACUCUAUUCUUUAUGACAAACCACAAGAACACUUUUAUUCUUUGGGGGUAUUCGAGCCUUCCAAAUGAACCAGAAAGGAACCUUAUCCAAAGAGCUACACUUGAGAUAAAGUGAUUUAACAGAAAAUCUUUUUUUAUUAAUAGUCCAUAUAGCUUUAUCUCUUGAAUCAUCAAGAUUAAUGUCAUUUCAUAUGUUUUUCAAUUCCUCCAAUAACUGAGUACUUUCUCCAUGUAAUCUUCUUCUAAAUAUUAGAGAAUCACAACAAAAGCUUCUGCUGGGGAUUGAAUAGCAAAUUAGCUAGAUAAAUGUGCCUAAUGCCAACAUGCAACUACUACUUUUAUUCUUGACUCGCUUCAGUUUAUAUACGAACAUCUAGAUUUUUUUUCUGAAAUUAAGUAACAUUAAUACUUACAUGAACUGAACCAAAACCCUAGUGUUUGUUCCAAAAAUAUAGGAAUAAGGAUGAAACCACUAUUUGGGUGACCUUGCUCAUAGCGUAAGUACGUUCCUCAUUCAUUGUAAAGGUGAAAUUUUGAAACAAUCAUAAUUGAACAUCAAAAAACUUACUGCUUGGAGAAGAUCUACUCUUGUUCAUCGUUAGUUCCUUGUAGUUGACAAAUGAAUAGUUUGACACAUUAGCAAAAACAUUAUUUCUUAAAGGAGCAGCAGAGAAUGAAAUGACAUUUGAGACUGACUGUUACCUCUAGACCAUGGCAGAAGUGCCUGUGCAGUUUAAGAUCAUCUUCUUUGCGCACUCGAACUUCGCACCCGUUAUAGUUGCAUUUAAUGCCUUGUAUUUCAUGUUGUUUAUGGCAGUGCAAGAUUAUCUGCACACAAUUUUAAAUUAGACAUGCACCAUCGAUAGUAAAUACGAAUAUAUUUGAUAGUUACAACUUUACCUCUCGUAUAGGGACUUUGCUAUUUUGAUGGAGCUGCCGUUCAAAAAAGCACAUAUGACAGAUAAUAGAUUUGAUGUUCAGCUGACUACUCAGUGUGACAUAUGUGCUAUACUGGGAUUGCACAUCAAUUGGAACGCCGUCCUAGAAUGAAAAAGAAAAAGAUAGCAUAAAUAGUGGCGGAUGACAGAAAAAAAUUAAGGUAUGGCAAAAAUUGAUAGCAUAGAUAACAAAACACUAUUUGAAAUCAUAGUCACAAGAAACGGACGACCUUCGACCCGAGAACGUCGUCUCCAAUACGAGUAUACGGAGUCAUUUUCGUUACCACUAUAUAAAAAUCUCUUACAGAUAGUGUACACCGACACGUCCUAGGGGACUUUGUGAUUAUAUUUAAAAUUAAUGUCUGUCUAAUUAUUUUAUAUCAAAUUUUAUCAACUGCAAGUUUGCAACAGAUACCUAUACUAGUUUUGACAUUGUUCUUGCAUUUGUUUGUUUCUUUUGGUUCCAUUUUUUAUUGUUAUUGAUAAUCUUCAGAAGUUUAUUGUGCUUUAAAAACAAUCAUCCAAUUAAUUGCUAACUAAUAAAUUGAACACUCAGUAACGGAAAAAAAAAAGACUUCCGGUUCCCUAGUAGGCCAGGGUUUUACCGUUCUUACAUUAUAGGAUUAAGAAGUCAAGAACUGCUGAAAUGGCAAGACACGGGUUGCAAAACUCUAGAAAAAUUGUAAGCUGACGAGCGGAGGAUUGCAGGAGCCAGAAAGACAGCAGCAUACGAGCAAUAAGCAGCAGCCUGCAGGUGGCUAGUACUGGCACAUAGCAGUUCUCGCUUGAUAUAUGUUUCAUGAUCACGAAUAAAAAGCGUCGCAAAUAUACGUAACGAACGAUUGCGUCAAAUCUAAGGAUUGGGCCAGGAAACUGCGUACCGUCCCCGCGGUGGCAGUAUGACUGCCCUCAGCCUCAUCCGUCAUCGGGUUGGUUGGCCCCGGAGCCGGAGGUGAUCGGUGCCGGUGCGGGUCCAGGCGCUCUGGUUUGAUUGCAUAGUAAUUAUUGGGAUUACGCCCACGACCACGAGAUUGAAGGACUCCUGAUCCUGGUGCGCGCUGCUGGUCUGCAGCUUCAUCCGUGAUGGGUAUGGGACCUAUGGGUCGUGGCUCGCCAUGAAGAAGACGUUGCCGCAACAUCUCCAUGAUGUACCGCACAGGUACCAUUAUCCCUGAACAAAGGCGCGCCACCGUGUCUGCUCCGACUCGAACAAGCCAUUGGAGGCAUCCAUCUUCCGGAAGCUGUCGGGGGAGCCUGUUCUUUCUCCUCGCCAUGGAGUCGGUUAGCAGCGUUUGCGUUUGACGAGCAAGAAAUGGCUGCGGUGGGAGCUAGGGAGUCGAGGAAAGAAGCGGAGGAUGGCAGAGAUUGGGGUUCUUGGAGAUUGGGGUUGUUCUUGGUGGCGGAGAGGGAGGGAGGUGGAGGAUGGCUGUGGCUGCGCGAUGGUAUUCAGCAGCAGAAGGGAGACGGGAGACGAAGAGGCACAACAUUCAACACUUAUAACGAAGCACAGGCGCGUUUCCUUGUUUCUUCUUUUAUAUACAGAGCGGCCGAGCGGGACCGGGGAGCAAUCAGCCCAUCCACGGGAACGGGAGACGCAGCCGCCUCUCUCUUCCUCCUAUCUCUCUUCCUCCUAUCCUAUCCACGGGAACCGGAGACGCAGCCGCCUCUCUCUUCCUCCUAUCCGAUCCCUCCUCCCAAACGCAGCCUCCGUCUGCCCACCACUCCCUCCUCCGCUGCGCCGCAGGCCGCAGCAGCACCAAUAGGUCACCACACGCGCCUGGAGUUGGACGACGCGACUGAGGCGCAGCAGUUCGACCGGGAUGGCGGGAUGCGCUCAGCGAAAUCUACGAGGUAGCGUAGCACGCGAGUCUUCAGGCGAGGGGAAAAACCCCCCGCCCCGCCCCCGCGUUGGUCCUAGGCCACGACAACUUCGCCCCCACAUCCAAUCUCGGUGCCUGAUGCCUUGAGGCAAGCAGGGGGACCGGGACCGGACCCCAUGGCGGCGGUGGCGGCGGUGCUCGACUCCUUCAUCAAGCGAUGCACGGCGUCAAAGGAGGACUUCGGCGGCCAGCCCAGCCAGAAGGCCUGCUUCCUUCUCGGCAUCGGGUUCGAGUUCGACAUCAGGGGCCUCCUGGCCACACACCAAUCACCUCAUCCCUAACAACGCCGCCGGACUUACCUACGCGGCGCGCGACUACGGCGGCAGCGACCCGUUUGAGGGGUUUCGCGACGCGGUGCUGGGGCCGAUAACUCAGAGAAUUCGGAAGAAGGAAGGAGAGUUCAGAGGAAGAAAGGACGAAGGAGACGAGGAAUAGUAUUUCUGCCAAAACAUUCGGUAAGUCUUUUUCUCCCUCUUCCUCCUAAACUGCCCUUUGGCAUUUGAAAAAGUGCUCGUUCAAGAAAUGAGACUGCUACCGGCCUGAGAACCCACUUUGCAUUCUGAUGCUUUUCUGAGUUACUUUGCCGCUUUUACUGGUUUGGCGUUUAGGUGUUUUUUGUCUCCUAGAAGAAGUCUAUGCUGCAGCGUUUCUGCGUGUACUCGGCCAGCAACUGGCCGUCGAGUCCGACGGCCACCUCGCAGCCGACGUGGAGCGGGUGCCAGUGCCGGUUGCCCCAGAACGCCAGGCGCGCGCGGAUCCUGGACCGCACCUUCACCGUCAGCUCCACCCUGCUGCCGGCCUCCACUGCGUCCCGCGCCAUGUCCCCGCUGGCCGCCGACGCCGCCACGCCCUGGAACGCCAGGGCCGACGUCGUCUUGGGUGGCUGGUACAGCGGCGCGGCCGUCAGGGCCUGGCCCUUCACCACGUCGGCGCCGCGGUACUCCACCGAGAGGUAGAACCGGUCGUAGAAGAAGGCGAUGUCCCGGUUCGGGUUGCGGAUGGAGAGCUGCCCCGACAGCAACUCUCUCGAGGCAUGCGGCCAGCAGAUGAACGCUUCUGCAGACACACAUCACGUCACUACGCACGCGAUCGAUGCUAUAUCUCGUUCUUCCUUGACGAUCACAGAACCAGCCGGUUGAUGCAGCAUCUUUGUCAGCCGCAGGAAAAGCCUCUGAAACCGCUGAUCGCUGCCUGCCCUCGGUCGCUUACCGUGCUCGCCUGCUUUCCGUCUCCUUGUGUUCUCAGCGGGACGACGUCGUGCGCGGCCCGGCGUCGAUCGCCAAUGGCGUGCAAGGUGAAAGGGAUCUUCAAGGGCCUCAAGGCCUUCUCCCGGAUCUUCGGUAAGCGGGCAUUUUGUUUCUCUUUCCCGCCUGAAAUCCUCAAACUCCGGACAUGGACGCACUGUCUGUUUUCCUCCAUGGGUCGUCGCCGGUCCUUGCAGCGGUGAAGGAGCACGAGAUGGAGAUCGGUUGUCCGACUGACGUGAAGCACGUCGCGCACAUCGGCUGGGACAGCGCGGCGGGCGGCGCGUCUCCGAGCUGGGUAAACGGACACCAGAAAUUCAGGGCACUGCCGCUGCGACUUCCUUCAAAUGUCUGGAUUCUGAUCGGUACAGUUUUUGAUUUGGUUCUGGGUCUUGUAUAUCUUUGCAGAUGAACGACAUCAUGGCGUCCUCAGACUUGUCGUCCCUGGGCAACUUCGCAGCGCUCACUGGUACCUCCUGGGUUUCUCAAGGUACAGUGACCAUUUCCUCAUGCUCUCCGGUUCAGAAUGCAUCGCUUUGUUUUGCUAUAGUUCAGUUCAGCAGCUACUUCCGUAUGACUGCUGUGUUGCACAUUUCUUAGCAAAGGUUUUUGGUUCUUCGUGUGAUCUCAUGCAUGUCACGGAGUUUUGCUUUGUCCAUUCCUCUGUUAGUUCUUGUACCCGCAACACAACACACGCACUGGCUUCAGGUUUCUGAAGCCUGAGAUACCAGCAGCAUCUCUGAACUCUGAAUCGCUGUUGGUAUGCCACCGGGUCUCGUGCUUCACACAAAUGGCGACCAAUUUUUUUUUUCGAAUACGCAGGAGAGCUGCGUAUCAUUGAAUUAAAAUAGAGGAAAAACGGCCUGAGGCCCAGGACAAACAGAACACACACAAAACAAAAACACACACUCACACCCACAAAACAAACACAAUACAGACACAUACAACCUACUAACACCCCAGUCUUUCAAUAGGCUUCAAGACUCUCCUUUAUCCAGGGUUGAAAAGAGAACUCGGUUUGGACCAAAAUUAAAGAACUCGAUCACGCAAACAGUGUGAGAAACUUGUCCCAGACAUAUCUCGGUUUGGUCCUUGCUUCAUGAUACGGUAACACCGGCAGAGGCGAAACUGAAGCUUCGUGUGAUGGGGACACGACACGAUCAGUUGGUGUCGUUCGUGCUGUGCUUGUUGCCUGGAGGCCCUGGACAGAGCGAGUGGUGUCGGCGUGCGUGUGGUUGGUUGGUGUACCUGGCGACAGCCGCUGCCCGCGGCCGGGCAGUCGGCAGACAUCCUCCUCAGAUCCGGAUCACGUUGUGUUGCCGUUCUUCGUUCCAAGAUCACGCACUUGAUGUUGCUUUCCAGGAUUCUUAGGAAGGAUCACGUGCCGCGUUCUUGCCUUCUUGGUUCUUGCCAUGCGCGGCUGACACGCGUUCUGUGGCGGAUUCUGUAUGUCUGACAGAUCUCGACAGCCAGCAGCGUGUCGUCGCGGAGAACACCGGCAGGCGAGACCACUCGGCCAGGUGCCCCGAUAUUACAAGGCCGCCGAGGAAUCCCGGGACGAAGAAGCCGAGGGACGGCUCGCCGCCGGCGUCGCCACCGUCACCGGCGGCUCGUGUCGACGCUGCUGCAGAUGACGCGCGAUAAUCUGAACUGUGUUGCUCCGGCCUCCCUCCAUUCCGAGUUUGUGUACGCGAGCGCGAGGCUACAAAGAGUCAAAGAUUGCUUGUUUGGUCGUCGUCUGAUCGCCCCCAGCUUUGGCGUCAAAGUAUGUACUAUGUGUUUAUGUUAUAUAUAUAUAUAUAUAUAUAUAUAUAUAUAUAUAUAUAUAUAUACUACUUAUUAAGACUCUAAGGGGUAGGCUGCCCCAUUCCUGGUUCUGCCAUUCCCAUUCCCAUGCGCCCUAUGUGUUUUCAUUCCCAUUCCCAUGCGCCUGUGUGUUUUCAUUUCCAUUCCCAUGCGCUCUGUGUGUUUGUGUUUUCAUUCCCAUUCCCAACUGUGUCCCGCCAUGUGACCCGUUUCCCAUUCCCAAUUGUGCCCCGUGCACCGCGACCAAAUUUUUACCAAAAAAAGCUAGCUGCGUGGGUUAAAGUUCACAGCCAACCAAGGCUUCACAUGUUGUAGUGCGCACUAGACCUUAUAAACAAGUGUGUGCACAGUUUAGUGAACAAUGUGGUACUAUUUUUUGUUUGCCAAUACGAAUUACACUUUUCCUAGAAGGCCCAUCUGCUUGUGGCCCAGAGAAGCCCACAGUGCUCAGCGCGACAGCGGCCUCCCCACCCCGCGCGUCGUCGCCUCCGCUCCACCUGCGCGCGCUGUGUCCAUCAGCCCACCCCGCGCGCCGUCGCCUCCGCUCCACCUGCGUGCGCCGUCAUCGCCAGGGCUCCCCACCCCCGCGCGCCACGACCUCCACAGCUGCACCAGCUCUCCCUGCAAUCCCCCACGAUCUCCCUUCCAACUGCUCCACUCCCUCCCGUUCGCCCCUUCCACCUAGCUCCCUCUCCUCCCUCCCACCAACGGCGCAUGGAUGACCGCCGUGGCCCUGCCCUUGAUCUCGUGUUCGCCAGCGCGUGAGCCCAGCCCCCGCCGAUCCAAGUGAUUCCACGCACCGCCCUGUAACCCCUGCCUCGUGUUGCCCCUCUCUUCCUCCCCUGAGCUCUGAGCUCCAACCCCCGAGAUAGCCACCGCCUAUCCUCGACGCCCCCGACCUCCGCGCCAGUCAAUCAGGUCGUAGAGUGACAGCGGCAGCAACACCACGCCCACGUGGCUGCUGGAGCCAGAGCCCCCGAUGGAUCUCCCGUCACUCUCCUGCUCUUCGCGACCGUCCGAUCCGUUGAUGCCGCCACCGUCCGCGCGCUCCUGACCGACGCUGAGGCAUCGGGCACCUCCCUGGGCACGCUCGCGGCUGCACAAAUGGACGUCGGGGAGACCGCGCUAUACGUCGCCACGGAGGCCAGCUGCGAGGAGGCCGUGAGCCUCCUUCUCCUGCUCUACGACCUUGAGACUGCCACCGUCUGCUCACGCCACAAUCUCGACGCCUUACAUGUCGCCGCCAAGCAAGGGCACACCGGUGAGCUCCCCUUCGGACCCCUUCUGUUAGUGUUGUGGGAGCGGAUUGAAGUCCUGCUUCCUGGUUACUGUGAACUGGGAAUUAUAUAUAGUUAACCAACCUCAUUUGUGGCCUGCUUUUAUGGAUGGGACUGCUAGACUAGGUAGAACUCUUUGUUGUCUUCAGGUGAUAUGCUUGCCUUUUGGCAUCAUUCCGCUGGUCUUAGGCUGGAAUUUGUUUGGCAUAUGGAGCUUUGACGCUCAAUCUAUUGGCAGUCACUGGGCGGGCUGUAGGUGAAAUUUUUUUAGUUUGAAGCUUAAGUUGACAAAGGGGAAAUAGAAACAGUUGUGGGCGAUCCCCAACCUAUUCACAGAGUGACAGUUAAACUAUUUCUGGGUAAUUUAAGUUGAUUCACCUUCAAAAGAUGUCGCCAAUCAAUAGAUAUCGUCAAGGCACUGAAGAAACGAAUUGGCCACAAGAAUCCAAAAGUUCACCUUCUUGCACUAAUUGUAAGUCUGUCUGUGAUUAUGUGCUAUCGGGACAUAAAGUAGUUGUAUUUCUUCAGGUGAUCCGUUCAUCUUUGAGACGCAGCGCCACAAUGGCAUAAGGGAGCUUUGCCCUGCGAAUGGAGGAGCACAAGCUAAUCCAUGCCCGUGCUCUCACCCCCCUGCAUAAACCCAAAUCUGUUGUGGUCAACCAUCAAGAGCUGUCCUAUUGUAUUAUUCAGUUCAUUGAAAAGGACUACAAAUUAGCAGAUACUAUGAUUUGGGGUCUACAAGUAUUGGCCAGUCAGAAACUGCCAAGAGGUAUUGAAAUAACUUGAGCAGACAUGUUUUAGAUGUGGCCUUAUACUAUAUUUAUAACUAGAUGUGGCCCAAUCUGAAGUCAUUUAAUAGUAGUAUUUGAUUUUAAUGGUCUGAACAAGCCGAAAUGUGAUUUUGGAGAUCCUUGAAGAAACAUGAAUUAUUCUGUAUCUUAUGAGAUCAUGUCUCAUGAUCACUUACAUAAUGUUUGUUUAGUUAUCACUUCUCACCUUUUCAUCCUUAACAGGUUCUUUGCCAUCAAUGGUUGACCGAACCAGUGAGGGGGCCUCUUCCCUGAUAUACAAAUUUCUAGAAAUGAAUAACAUCAUUUUUCCAUUACGCACAUAAGUUCAAAUUGUAUUAAUAUGAAAAAAAUGGUUAUUAAAAAAUCUCUACUACUCUAUAUGUUAGCAGUGUAGGCGUCCACACUGCUGCAUUCUGCCACCCGCAGCCGCCCCGCCCCGACGACCUCUUUGAUAAGGCUAUGAACUCCUUCAAACUCGCCAAGAACCGUGAGUGCUCCUAGCUGCCCAGAUCCCCCUUGCCUCCCCAUUUAUUCUGAUGAUUAUCUUGUUCUAAUGAUUAUCGUAAUCACCUCUUAUUCUGAUGAUUAUUUUAUGUUUGAUUGCCUGGUAAAUUUCGUUGAUUAUCUUCCACAUACCGAUUUGCUUGUCUGAACUGACUGCUAUAUAGAUUCUCUGCUCGUCGGUUUUUGACCCUCCUGAUAAAUACAUUCCGUUGAUAGUUCCUGCCUACAAUGAGAAGCAUCGACUCUCCGAGGCUCUUACAGAAACAGUUAAGUAUGGCAUUUGCUACUCAUGUUGUUCAAUUCUGCAUUACUUUGAACUGUGCAUUACAAUCUAUACUCGUGAUUUUCCUUACCAGAUAGUGUUAAUAAUUGUAUACAUUGCUUUGUUGUUUUCUCUCUUCAAUGGCUACUUGAAGCAGGGAUCAACUGCUGACAAUUCCUUUUCUUACGAGGUAUGUGGAAAUCUAGCAUGUUAUUUGUAAUUUACAAUCCCUGUUGCAGCUUGCGGUCAAAUUGUUUCUCUUACCUAUGCCUCUGCCCAUUAAUCUAUCCGUUUUUCCUUAACUUUUGCGGUUGGCUUGUUCCUACAUUGCUCAUAGGAGAUGAAAACAUAUUUUAUUCAUUUUAAAUUUGGGUUUUAGUUCAUAAUAUUGGAGUACGGGGACUAUCUCGUUAUUAGAUUAUGAAGGCAAGCGCCUCUCUUUUAGUGUAGAUUAAUGGCAGGAUAGUGACUAUUUUGUUGUUAGAAAAAGCGAUCUGGUGGCAGUUUACAAACUCUAUUGUUAGGCUCAGAUUUGCUAUUCGAUAACUAAUCUAAUGUGUAUCUGUCUAAUGAAAAUUUCUAUAUUUUAUAUAAGAAAAUAUUCAAGCUGCAAUAGAGUUUGAAGGUACUGCUGUGCAGUGGUCUUUUUUUCUUAUUAUUGUAAAACACAUUUGUCACUUAAAUGUUGCAGGGAUGAUUCAGCGCAUUUACCUGUUCUUUGGGAUUCUCUUCACCAUGUUUUAUUGAGACAAAACUUCCAUGUUUGAUUGGGUGGCUAAGAAAUCUGUAUCCUUGUUUGGUCUUAUUAUUCAUGCGAAUAUUGUGUUAUGUGUAGCCAGGUAGGGUCAUAUUAGUGUGUUUUGUUUCCAGCAAUGGCUGAGUAGGUUCAGCUUAAUGUUAUUCUAAGUAUGUCUCUGUAUUUUUGGUGUUAUAGGUGUACUUAACAAAUGAAACAAUAAAGAUGAUGACAUUAAUGAAAGGUUUGAUUAGUAAGUAAUGUAUUACUAUUUUUCUUUGUUGAAUUCGAUACUCUAUUUACUGUUUGCCAAGCAGCCCACAUCUUUUUUAUAUCUGCUUGUUGCUUAUGCCUAUAUUGAGGGGCUGUUUGGUUACAUGGAACGAAACUUUAGUGCCUCUCUUUUAGUCCCUAAAUUAUUAAAUAUGAGGACUAAAAGGGAAUAAAUCAGAUUUCCUCCCCUCUCUUUAGUCCUUUUUUUGGUAAUUUAGGGACUAAAAAAGAUGAACUAAAGUAUAGUCUCAUGGAACCAAACAUGUCAUGAGGAGAUAGGACAAUUAAUUUCUCUCUUAAUGGAUUUUCUUUAUUAUUGCUACCUAUUAAGACCAUGUUUGUGAUAGCUUUAGCUACAGGAAAUUUGGUAGAGUUAGUGUAACAGGUCAUUAGGUGCUCAAAAAAAACAUGGAGUUGGAGCUAUAAGUCUUUAGAAGACAUUUAGAUAAGUCAUAUCGUUUAUAAUUUAGACUAAAAAUAUUUUUAAAACUAUUUAAAUUGAUAUUAUAAACUAAAACUACAGCUUCACGCUGGAGUUAGAGCCAUCCCAAACACUCCCUAAAAACAUAUCCUGCACUCCAGCUGCCUAUAAUGAAUUCGAUACUUUGUAUUUACUUAUUGCCUUUUUAGGUCUGCUUAUACUGAUCUGACUAUAGGAGAAUUAAUUUCUUUCAUAAUGAUCUGCCUUCCUUGUGAUUUCUAUUGAUGCAUUCCAAAUCUGACAAAUCAUGGCUGCAGUUAUAUGCCCCUGUCACAAAAUGGAUUAGGGUUGUGAUUGAGGUUUUUAUCUACUGUACCAUUUUUAAAAUAGAAGAUGAACUUAUGUACUCUUCUCAAAACUCAAAGGCAUAGUGAAAACAAACAACCUUUUUAACUAACCAUUGCUAGAAAAUCUAUACUACUUAUUAAGAAGGUAAAGGUAGUCUGCCUCCCCUCGUUCUGCCACUCCCUCGUUCUGCCUUCUCUGACCGACCGUGGGCCUCCUAUGUCAGCGCGCGUCUCUUCUAUGUCUCCUUCACGCGACGCAGGCACGCAACAACUGCUCCCUCUCCGGUCUCCGCACCCUCCGUCCAUUCCUUCCACACCCAUGGUAAUGUACCAAACCCCACUCCGUUCCUCACCCGCGGCAUCGUCGCCACCGAGGCCGUCGGCGGCUUAGCCAAAGACCGUUGCGGCCCCGACUCCGCCGUAGCCCACCACCCGGCAACCGCUGUGACCUACACGAACCAAACCCGCCGCCGCGGCAUAGCGCACCACACCAGGCUCCUCGAUGGUAUAGACUCGAGAGCCCAACCCGACCUGAGCCGAUCUGAAAGGAGGGUUGUCAUCUGGCCUCCCCUGGUUCCGGCGCCCAUGGUGGUGGCAGCACCUGUCCAGCUAAACCUCGACGAGGUCUGUCAUGGGACCACCGCAGCGCCUACUGCUUUGAGAAAGCAGAUCGACGAGGGCACCUACGGGUAGCACCCCCUCCCAUCCAUCCUCCCUAAUCGAUCUGGUGAUUACUCUACCUGUCUACUCUCCUAAUCCACCGAUUCGCUUCAUUACUUGGCCACCGCCGGCAGUGAAGUGUACAUGGCGAAGGAGACAGACUGGAUCUGCAUGAUGUUACAUGAGCAUGAGGGUUGUGGACUUGAAUUCCACAAAUUAUACACACAUGAAAAAACUGCUAGGGAUUAAGUGUGACUGCGUGAUGAUGUCUGACGCUCCUGUUCAGCAGGUAAGGUAGCCAUCAUGCUUUUAUAGUUGUAUAUUUGGAUUUUCUUUUGCAUAAAAAAAACCGUACCACCUAUCAAUAUCACCCUAGAAGAUGGCAGAUUUCAUAUGAACAGUGGUGGAACAGUGGUGGAAGAGCUGUCGAUCAGCCACUGCAUCAACACAUCAUAUUGUGCUGGGCUGCUCCUCCGCGGUGUACGAUAGGGACAAGACCGCCUCUUCCCCCUCCCCGCGCUUUUGCUGAUCGGCCUUCAGUUUCUCAAGGUGAGUUUAGUCAAAACUUUCUUCAAUAUGCUUUUGCUUAUCGACAUGUAUAUUGUGCUGGAUUAUCGACCUGUCCAGCAACAGCAUCUCAGGAGCUAUACCCGCAGCCCUCGGGAACGCCAAGUCCCUGAAGUUCCUGUGAGUCCGGGAAUACAAUGGUUAGUUUCGUCAGUUGCCAUUGGUUCCAUUCUUGCGUGAACGUUUCUUCAACUCUGUCGGCAGGCGUUUGGAUCACAAUCGCCUGACGGGGCCGAUCCCAAGGGAGCUUGCUGGGCUGCCCAAUCUUGGAAUUGUGUGAGUACUAUCUACGUGAGAUGUGCGGCUGCAUUUUGCUCUUUACGACGAUUGUAGCAGUUGCGGCGAACCCAGUUCAGCCAUGCCUUAACAUUCUUCUUCUUCUUUUGUGCUUCUGCAGAGAUUUCUCCAACAAUGACCUUUGUGGCGCGAUCCCGACAGACGGAGCAUUCCAGAACAUUCCCCGUAGCAGGUAGUCCGAGCUUCCUCCAUGAGUUCAUGAUGUUCAGAGUCCUCCCAUGCAACAUACAACAAGUAUUCAGGUAGCCAUAGCUGAUGUCUCGCCUCAGAAGAUCCUAUCAAAAUUCCAGUAAACAUAUAAUCAGAAUAAAUCUGCCCUACCACUGAAAUUGACCCAAGUAUUCAGGUAGCAGUGUGGCAGGAAGCAAUACAACAGUAAUCCAUCCAGAGAGUGUUGCAUGCAUAGAGCCUUUAAUUUCUCUUAUAUUAUAGGUUAAUUUCUAUAGGAUAAAAAACAUACAAAAGCAUUUUAAAAUAUGAAUCUAUAGAUAUAACUUCUGUACACUAGACAAGCAUAUAAUUUGACAUAGUUGUUGGUCAAACCUUAUGAAGGGAUUAUGUUCAGAUAAAAAUACACUUUAUAAAGGUGGACGGAGGGAUCAUGUGAACCUGCACAUGUAGUUCUGCACUUGAUGGAAUCAUGAAAAGCAAAAGGAAUUAAAAAUAGAACGAGAGAAAGGGACAAAAUAUAUAAAAAGGAUAAGGCUAUGUAAAACAUAUGUAACAAAAGAAACCAGGAUAUAAUCUGAAAGUGAUAUGUACAGAAAUGCAAAAGCUAUCAAAAGAGCUAUAGCAUAACUUUGUCUAGCCAAGAAAAUAAAAGGUGAAUGUAGCCUAAAGUCAAGGGUAACAGAAUUGUUAACUGUUUGCAUAAUAAGCAAAAAAAUCCAAUGAGGCACUAACCAAUUCUUGUCGAAGCUUAUUGUUCAGUUCAACAGCAGAAUUCUAGGAUGACUCUUCACAUCUGUCAGGUACAUACUGCUGCCCAGUCAAUUCAAAUUCUCUUCAAAACAGCUAAUCUCGCUCCAUAUUGUCUUUUGAAGCUUCCUGGGAAAAAAAGUCUUUUGAAGCUAAUCUUGCUCCAUACAGCUAAUCUUCACAUCUUUCAAAGCAUUUGCUAGGGCCCUUCGUGAGCAAUAGAAUAUGACUUGCGCUACCAAAGCGUCCAUAGGUAUGUAUUUCCUUACUGAAAACGUUUUUUUAGAAAACUAUCCUUAGUUCAUGACCAGUUGGUGAAAAAAUGCUUCAAGCAUUGUUGUUUCGAACCACACCUUUCUGUAGAUGUAAUUCAAGUUUUCUACAACCUGUAACUACUAAUGUAGAUAAAAGAAAAACUGUCUCACAUUCCUUUAUCUUAUGCAUGAAACUGUUCCAUGUAUUUUCAGAAAGCUAGAGUGUGGCAUGUUUUACAUCUAUUAUAACGGUCUACCAUUUUUGGGCCCAUCUAUAACAAGGACUUGUCCCUUGGUAGUAAAUGAAAAUGUUUCUCCCUAAGUCUGUAGAUUGUAUUGUUCAGUCAAGCUGUUGCCCAAUUGUACAUGCAGCCACAAAGGCUUCCUGUGUAUUUUCUUCUACAUUAGAAUUUUCUAGAGACUGUAAAUUGUAUUAGCGAGACAAGCAGUCAUGCAUUAGAGGCCUGGUCCAUGACACAAUUAUAUAUAAUGAGAUCGAGAUUUCAUUGUACAUGCAUCCACAAGGCAUCUUUUUAUAUUUUUUAACAUGAGUGUACUGAUGCAAUGUCGUUCUGUUUUGUCAUUUUAUUUUUGUUAUAUCUUGGAGAUGCUGAGCUUGAUCAAUAUUUUGCCAUUGAAUUUAUGAGUGGCCUAUAUGUUCACUUUUUGGAGAUCCCUCCCACAAGUCACCAUCCACAUCAGUCAAGUGUCGAGUUCUUGAUCCGACAGACACAUCCAUUGACCCAUUGGUGCUCCAGGCAGCCACCUCUGUAGCUCUGCUAUAACUUCUUGCGGUCACAGAUGACAAAGGAUCAGAACCAAUGAUUUGGGUGUAUUUUAUGGAAAGGCAAAAUGAGAAGCUGAAUCUUGGAGGAUGUCUAGAAGCAAACAGAUGUUAGCAUGUGCAUUAGAGGAGGUCCCCGUAUAGUGCAGCAAGGGGGCAAAGUGUUUAGUGUAUAAUUUGCAUGUUGGGAAACGAUUGGUCGGAUAUGUUUUGCCAUCCUUUUCCAAUGAAACAUCUCAGGUGGAGGUCAUUCGACCUUGACAGACAUCAUUUUGCCUCAUACACUUGCAACAAUUUAUUGACAUAUUUUGUUGCUUACUUUUGCCAUUUUAUGUACUUCGUUCACUAUGGAGAUAGUCUUUGAGAUGUGUAUAAAGUUACAGUGAUCAUGUUUUGCCAACCGAUCAUGUUCAUGUUGUGAACCUUUUUUUUGGAGUUAAAACAUUUAAGCAAAGCUUUCAUUACAUCUACUUUUGCUACCUUUUUUACCAUGCCUUUUGAACUUACUGGUGAUUAGAUUUUGCAGCUUGCAUAGUUGGAAUAACUGGAUACAAAACAUUUUGCCAAACGGAUGAUAUUUCUAUAUUCUAUAUUAAUUUUUAACUUCCGUGGCAACGCACGGGCAUUCACCUAGUAUAUAUAUAUAUAUAUAUAACUUGCAAAGGUUGCCACAAUCGUAGAUUCUAAUCGAACAGUACAGGUUUAAAUCAGAUCGUACAUAAACAUAUAUAAAAAGUUAUAGAAAAGUAGCUAGACUCUUGAAAGGACCGGAUAAUUAAACAGCUCGGUUAAUUAAAAUCCUAAGUAAAAUCACAUGGCCACAUCACAUUGAGCUAGGCUGCAGUCUAGCAGCCUUGGAAUAAUCAACGUGCAACCCCCAUUAUCCGGAACCAUAUUUCUAUGGUGUCGGCCAUCCCCCGUCGGAAUUAAGAGCCUUGCUAAUCUCCAAAGGAAAACACGGAUCUUAGAUGAGCACAACUCAAUCCAUUAAUUCCUUUUUCCUGUGAUCUAGCCGCAGGCGUCCCUCCGACAUUCUGGGGACUGUCCGUCGCCAUCCUCCCCGCCAAGAGAUCCCAACUCGCUCGACGGUCCUCAGCCUUCCUGCCAAGGCCGCGGAGUUGCAUAAGGUAGCGCCGUAGUCAAUAUUGGCCUGUUAAGCGGUGUUUUGAUGGGCCAGGUCCGAGUGGGUAUUGUCUCGUGUCGUGUGACAAUCCGGCCUGGCCCAUCGCAAAUCUCCUGUCAUUUCUUCUCGCUCGCCACGAUGUUGCGGAGAGCCGGACCGCCAAGACAAAACGGCGGUCUGUCGCCGGCGUUCCCUCCGUCGCGUGGUACUCCACCCGCUGCUGGAAAUCUCUCGGCGCCCGUUAAGUGAGUUCCACCCUAACGCUCGUAGUACUAGAUCCUCUUUUCUCUCUCCCCCAUUUCCUCUCUUCUUUUUUUCGCGCGUGGAAUCGCCAUGAGACGACCUCGAUUAGUUACCGUUGCCUGUUCCAGCUACCAAACUUUGUAGAUUUGCGAGCAACUUGCUAAAAAUUAGGGUUCCGAUGAGUGGGACUUGGAGGGACUAGGAAUUCGCCGAGAGCCGACAAUUACAUGUUGCAAUUGGAUAACCGCUCCAAAAACCCUUCCCGCCGCUCGACCGCCGAGAGCCGAUUCCGAUGCUUCUGGUUGGCCUAGAACUGCUGCAUUAUGUGAACCUGUCCUCCUUAUAUAUGGUUGGUUCUGGGCAAUAUCAUACUGUUGUCUGGACUCUGGAAUGGUAUGUUAGUCUGUCGACAGGUUAACUAGAAGAAUGAUGUAGUAGGUAAACCUUUUCUCUCUGAUCGACGAUGCGUUGUCACUGGCAUGUACUACUCUAAUUACUACUUAGAUUCUCACUUGAGUAUGCAUCAAAGGUCACAUAGUAAUACUAUUCUAUAGCCCAGCCAUUACAAGUAGCGAUGUGACAAUGAACCAUUAAUUCUUUUGAGAUGGAGAAUCCUAUGCAUGGUGUUCUACAACUAGGAACUAGCCAACAUUCCAAAUUCGUCUAAUGACAUAUUCCCUGAAUAGUUUUCCAGUUAAAGGAAACAUAAUACCUUUCUAUGUCUUGUCCAUUUAUCAUUUCUCCACAUUUUUUGAAUGAUACGUUUCCACUUUAAAUAUCUGCUGGACUUCACAAUAUUCAGAUAUUCGAUACUUUUAGUUCAGUUCUCAGCUAGUUAUUACCAUGGACAUGCUGAAAGUGUUCCAAAUUAUAGGUCGUUUUUUAGCUUUUCUUAAUACAUAUGUAUUUCCUCUAUACUAAAUUAUAAAGACAGUUUGGCUUUUCUAGAUACAAAGUUUUUUUUCUAUGCGCUUAGCGGCUUAGGUACAUAUUAUGUGUAGAUAUAUUUAGGAUAAAGUGAGGAUAAGGAACUGCCCAACGGCUGUGAUGUCCGAACUUACAAAUGCUUGGUUGUCACUGAAAAGUUCCAUCGAAUAGAUGAAAUACUGAGGAUACGAGUCAGACAUGCCAAGUGGGGCUUUUAUUAAAUAAUAAAGACUUAUCCAACAAUGUCCUCAUUGGAAAGUGACCGUUUGGGAACACUAGGGAUGUGUAUAAUGAAAUAGAAAAAAUAGUCACAACUCACAACUUCACAAAUAAAUACCCAUGCCUUUUUUUCCCAGCCAGCUAUAGGCAGUAUAAAUUCAGAUAGUUAAGGUUAAAGUGAAGCAUGACUAUACUGCAGUCGCGUCCUUUAAAAUGGUCUUUAGGAGAGGAGAGGUGAGCAGAAUAUUCAUAUACACUGUGUUCAGAAUUCCAGGUCCGCUCGAUGCUAACUGUCCCCUUGUGAUAGCACAUGCAAAUGCCUUGUUGUUUUUGCUAGAGAAGUACACGUAUAUAUGUUUGCUAGUUGCAACCUCUGCAGAAGGUGUAUAAAAAAUUAUUGAACCUAAUUAAUUCGAUGGUCUAAUCAGGAAGGCCAGCGAUGCCCCUUCUGCUUUAUUCUGACUACUGAUUAAGCAGGGUUCCGGUACUUGCCACUCAUUAAACAAAAGGCUAGUAGCUUCCUUGUGACAUGAGGUUGUUUUUUUUUGAAGAAUCAGGAGGGGGAUACCCUACUGCGAAUUUUAUUAAAAAGCGAAAAGAAAAGGUUAGAACUUAAUCAAGUUGAAGCGUCCUCUCUCACUUUUGUCUUACGCUCCAAACAAUGUACACGACACAUACUAGUGGUUUGCCUCCGUGACAUGAGGUUGUUGGUGACCAUAUUACUGACGUGUGGACAGGCGUAAGCUAGGGAAUCACCCCUCUAUCCAUGUGGUGAAUUGCAGACUGACUGGACCUAGCUGCACAGCUAAUUACUCUCUGAAACUUCUAAUUUUGUAUGCUAGUUCACACCCCAGCACUACGCUGCUAUUGCUUGCUACAAGGAACAUAUAAUGGCACAAAAAUUUGGAAAUCUUUUUUCUGCUGAAUGAGACGAUAGGUACAUGCACACAUGCUUUCGAUUACUUGGAAGUUUUCCGCAGUGUCAUAAACUUGAAUAUCCUACUUUGUUUUGUUGUUGUUGUUGUUUUCCAAUAGUUGGAUUUUUUUUUGUAUCUGUUUGAAUGAUAGGUAUGAUCAGACAUCUCAACAGCUAGAUGAGAGGAGUAGGUUCUCUGAGCUGACAGAAGAGCGUGAUGUAUUGUGUUAACUAUAGAAGUUGUAUACAGUUGCAUUGAAAUAUACUGGUGUAUACAUGAAACUAAAAGAAACAGUCAUCCGAGAUAGUUUAUCAGCAUAGAGAUAGGGACCAAGCAAAGGCCUCUCUUCCUCAGCUCAUUGCUCUCGUGGAUCGCCUUCUCGUCGGCGCUAGAACUACUGAUGGCGGCUUGAUGGUCGGCGCCGGUCGUCACCUGCUGCUUUGAACUCAUAGCUUCCAAGUACUUGGCCUGCAGCAUUCGAAAAGAAGAAGAAAACAGGUGUAAGUACAACAACGCCGAUCUCCAAGAACUAGAUGUGGAAGCUGUAGAGCAAGCAUAUAUACCAUGAGCUGGGGCAUGUCGUUGAACUGUUUCGCAUCGGUGGCUGCCAUUUGCUUCAUGUGGAAGUUCUCCAUGGUAGCCUUCUGCACAGGGAGAGUCCGCAAUCACGUUAGAAGACAAGCUGUGUGCUACAACACUGUUUGAAACAAAAAGGCCUAGCUAGGCCUAACCAGAGGUCGAGGUCGAGUCCUUUUUGCUACUAACUAACCUGUUGGGCAGCUGCAGAAGAACUGCAGGCGGUGUCCUUCACGGACUCGUCGUCAUCCUCGUCGUCGUUGCACAUGAACUCGGACGUGAUGAAGGAGGCGUCGUCGCUAAAGGAAUCGAAGGAAGAAGAAGAGGAGAAGCUGCUGCCGCUGCCGCCAGGAACUGCAGGGGGUUGCUGACCGUCCGUCACUCUGGUGCCGUCCUGCGGCGUGGAGGCCAGGAAGUUGGCGAUGUGCAUGGCCCAGCUGCUCUCGCCGGCUGACAUGGUGAGAGUGGCCGCCGGGCUGAUGACGCAUGAGGUGGAGGGUGAUUUGCUCUCCAUUGUUGUGAUCACCCAGAGGAGGACAAGGAGGAGCAGCAGCAGCAGCAGGAGGAGCUCUUGUUCUUGGCAAUGUGAUGUGAUGUGAAGAAAGCUCGGUAGAGUCCGUGGGUAUAUAAACAGUCGUAGUAGCAGCAGUAGGCACACAUGGGCUGAGCUGAGUAGAAUACGGUUGGGAAAUCCCUCUCUGCGAAUAUUCUGGUUAGUUGCGUUGCGUGUGUGUUAUUCAGUAGUAAUGAACACUUGCGUUGUGGCAAAUGAUAUGGCUGGAUGGAUAACACAUAAACAGUGAGAUCGAGAUCCACUUCACCAUCACCAGCUGCAGGUUGAUGAAGCCCAGACCAAACCACUGUCACAUCACAUCAGCAGAUGCAUGAAGAGGAGGGCAGACUGGUCACGUACGGCCUCACGGGUCACUGGUUAGUGGUUACCGGUCACACGUCACAUCGGAUUCGGAUCGGAGAGGAAUCAUCAGAGGAGCGCCGCGAGCACGUCUGUUGCUAUCGCGCUCGCGCGGCAUGGAUGAUGGACCACCUAAUCCGAGGAUCCGAUACAUGUAUGUAUCCGACGCGAUCACGAGCGAUAUCCGGAUUGAACUGGUUGUUUUCGAGAGCCAGGGACAGACAGAGUUAACGACGACGACGCAGGGAUAUGAAUCCGAUCUCAUCUGAAGCCACCCAAUCCGUCCGAUGCGAGUAGAACGAAUGUUUUUUUUAAUUUUUAUUUAUUUAUUUAUUUAUUCAUUCAUUACCCUUAUUUAAUCUGUUGGGCACGCAUACAUUAUACCACGUGCCACAUACUGUAGUGAUCCGUUUUGUAUUGUAUCGUAGCAGCGACAGGAUCAUACGUGAGCGUGUGAUCGGAUCAAACCAGGCUACCAAUCUGCGCUGCUCGUUUGGCCUUCAUCGGUCCAAAUACUACUCCAAUAGGCAAUAGCCACGAACAAUUCUGCUAGAGGUUUAAUUAGGGACGCAGGCCGGGCCAUGGUAACGUAAUCCGCCCGCGCGUGCCUUCUUCGACAGUCGACACACUACAGCUGCUACCGUGUGUUGUAGGCAAAGAGGUUGAUGUUUAGUCCUAAAUAGCGUUAUCAAUCGAGACUAAAAAUACUACAACAAUAUAUAUAUAUAUAGCUUUUUUUUCUAGCCCAGACAUCCAAUAUAACCAUUGAAGUUUAUGUUCUUGCUCUCAAGUAUUUUCAUUCUAAGUUCAAAAGGGUAUUAACUCCAUGCUCUUAUAUUCUCUAUUGCUGCUUAUUUCAUGGUGGUUUAGAAAUAAAUAAAGAAUUUAUGAUUUUUUUUCAACAGUAUCGUCAGCGUCGAGGAUCUAUGAGGAUGCUGCGUCACUGUCUUUUCAUGGUUUAGUCCCCGGUUCUAAAUUAAGAGAUGAUAAGGUCUUUAGCCAUGUAUUGAAAAUCCCGGUUAGAAACUAGUAGGAAUAUAUGAAGCGGCUUUUCAUCCCAAAAUAUAUAGCAGCCCCUUCCCGUAGUGACGCUAUGCAGUCGUGGCUACUGCUUAUGUCAUCGCCACCUCCGUCCUCCUGUCGUCUGCCAUGCAUGGCUUCCUCGAUGUCCAUGGGUAACAUAGCGCCAUGCAUGCCAUCGUGCAUGUACGAUCAGAUUUUGGAUCGCUGCGAGUUCAUGCAAGCUGGUAUCUUGCCCCGGCCCCUUUUCCUUGACUUGAUCUCCAUCGUCGUCCGGUCCCUCUUGCUCCAACUGCUAGCUAGUAAUGACCAAAUCAUCUCGUUGAUACCACGAGCUCUCAAUGCAAAUAGCCGGCGCGCAUCCUCUAGGAUCUCUGGCGAUCUCGCGCGCCCCGCCUCCCACCAUGCAUGCCACUCUCAUACGCAGUGGCGAAGCUAAAAUAAAAUGAAGUUGGACGAAGGAAAAAAUAUAUCAAGAUUAGCGUGUUUUUGUGGGACUAUUGUUUUUAGGUAUAAACCUUUCGAAAUAAUGAUUUUUUAUUCGAGGACCCCAUAUAUAUACACACAUAUGUUUUAAAUUUUCAUGUAUUUUUAAACAAACUAGUGAUAUUUAAGUUCCUAGUAUCAUAAAAGAACGCCAACUAAACUAUCAAAGUGCAUUCUGUUAGCUCAUCACGAGCUUCAAAUAUAUGGCGCAUUGGCGCGCAUGCACGCAUGAUUAGAGAGGAUGGAUCUCUCGCGAUCUCGUCCACAUGACAUUCUCAUGCACCCGCUCGCUUCUAUACCACAUGCCACUAUUGUGAUGUGUAUAUAUGUAAAUAUAUACUCACUUGGAAAAUUUUAGUGCUGCAAUUUGCACAGCAUGCAAAGUAAGCUAAGCCUAGCUAGCUAAUGGCCUGUAUAAUUUGGUUGCACGCAGCCACACGCCGCACGGUGCCUUCUUUGACUUUGACUUAUCCUGGAAAGGUGUGCUUACUUUUUUCUCCGUGCAUGAGAUCAAUAUUAUUGUUUGUUAUGGUUUGUUUGGUUCAACUGUAGAUUCUUGAAAAUAUGAUUCGAACAGUGAGCUGUGUUGUAAACUAACAAUUAUAGAAAAUCUAAAAUUUGUUUGCUGAAACAACUGUUGAUUAUAAAUUUCAUAAGUGAAUAGCACCUUAUAACAUAUAUGACAUGAAUCAAACUGAGGUAAAAGAUAUGUAGAUUUUUAGUAAUUUAUUCAGUUGUUGUAUCCGUUUAGUUAAAAUUCUAAAAGAUGAACCAACCACAACAUAAGAGUGCGUAGUGCUCUUCGGGGUCAAACAUGCAUAUUUUUCGAAACGGGGAAGUAUUUCUGUAAACUUUAUUCACUUUUGGAGUCUUGUAGAUGCUUGUAGAGGGAAAAAAUAUUUUUCCCCCAAUGGAUUUCCCACUCGGUCCAACUACCUCCCCCUUCCAUCUCGGCCCGGGCCCAACUAUCUAACACUCUCUUGAGCCCAGCAAACGUCUCGGUAGUCUGCAUGGCCCAACACCAUCGCUCCCUCACUCCCCAG
rnacentral:lncRNA from 1 species